rnacentral:lncRNA from 1 species
AUAUAUAUCUUUGCUUAGUUUGCUAAAUAAAUAAAUAAAUUAAGUCUGCUAUGAACCCUCAUGAUAAGCUCUCACAUGGAAAUGAUGAAUAGUUGCUCUGCCAUGACUAGUUCUCAAAAUUGAAAUCUCUCUCAAGUUUAGGCAUAACUGUUAUUAAUUAAGAUUUGCUCUAAACCUGAACUUGUGGGAAGAGUACUUGAUCUAAAGUCUAAGUUGUUAACGGAUACGAUAUGGGAAGGUUGAGCUACUGUUUAUAUGUUCUUAGAAAUGCUAGAAUUCUGGAGAAUUUUAUCUUUUAAAAUCUUUAAAAUAAUACAUGAUGAGUUCCUGUAUGAUGAGAGUUUAAAAUCCUACCACAGCCAUAUAUACAUGCUUGCUAAACUUUGAGCCACACAUUUACUUUUUACUGCUUAUGAGCAUUGAGUGUGGUCAAGCUGUGUAGACCCUUAGGAGCUUGUCAUGUGGUUAAAUCAAGAUUCACUUGCACUCACACAUGCUGCUUCUAUUCCAGAAGUACGCAUCCACAUAUAUCCACCUAUUUCCAUCUCCAGAACCACCCAAAAAUAUUCUACUCCUAAUCCGGAAGAGAAUAGCCAUAAACAUUUCUGUUUUUCUCCUAUGAAAUAAAUGCUCAAGUUAUCUUGGUUACUACCACUUGCUACAUUAUUUCAAGAGAUGAGUGCUCUAAAAAAAGAGAGAGAAAAAAGAUACGAGGAAAUAAAAAGGGGCAAGUGCCCGGAACCUCGAAAGAAAAGAAAAAGUGAGACAAGAGGUAAAAAUGGACAAGUGUCCGACAGUAGAAUUAGGGGUACAAGAUACCCACCUGAGAGAAAAGAAAAAGAAAAUAUAGAGCAUCUCAUUCUCCUCAAAAAGUUUCGAAAGAGCAAGAAAGGUAUGUAUCCCCUCAAAAGAGCACAAGUAGAAUUAGACUUUCACCAUUGUUAUCACCAUCAUACACCAUUCAUUCGCCACACAUGCACAUCUUGAUUUGACUUAUUGACUUGUUCUUCUGGAUCCAUGGUUUGACUAUGCAAUAAAUGUCUUGUAAGUAUGUAUUAGCUGUCUCCCACCUAUGAGCUCUAGAUAUCAAAACCUUAUUAGAGUAGGGUGAGAGAGAAGGCAAUGCCACUAUGCCUUAUACCACAAAUACCACAAACUUUGAGAGAAGGCAUAUACCAUCACUGCCUUGGUAAGGAUCCAGAAAUACCACAAAAGAGAGACUAGAGAGAGUCAUACAAGGAAUCUCUGAGUUUUAUUUGAAAAUCUGCAAAAACUCCAGAGGUAUAGUUGAUCAAGAAUAAGAGACAUGGCGCUUGACUAGAUCGUUCUAUCUUUUAACUGCUCAAGACAUAGGUGACGGUUGCAAGCCCCAUGGUGGAAGGUAAAAUGAGUAAGUUUAAAUCCUAACAGUUUACCCUAACCCAGAGAUGAGAUCUUGUUUGCACGCAUGUGUACCUUUAAGGCAUGAAACCACUGCAGAAACUCUUGAGUUCAUCUUUGCUCAGAGAGGAGCAAAGGUUAAGCUUGGGGGAGCUUGUUGACGGUCCUUAAUGCUCACAUUUAACCAUCAACUAACCAUAGAAAAGGAUCCAAAUGCAACCAACACCUAGACUUAGGGUUUUAUCUAAUAGAAUUCCACAAGUUUUGGUGUUUGUCUAUUUCUGCAGUGGGUUAUCACGAAAUACGGAAGAAAGGCCUACACGUCGGGUUUACAUAGAGAUAUUAACGUGCCGCGCAAUUUUCUACCAUCUAGAAGACUCCAGAAGCCACGAGAAGGAAGCGGAGGCCGAACGGGGCCAGGCACUGGGCGCCCGCCAAGUUGACCUGGGCGCCCGCCCCCUCCUAGAGUCCAAACAAGACUCUCUUUCGGGAUCAAUCUCCACCGACCUAAAGGAUCAAGGAUAACCAUUCAAUCAAUGUCGGUUUGAUCCAACGGCCCAUAUUCACUUGAAGGGACUAUAAAACCAGACCCCCUGGCCCCUGGAGAUCAUACCUCUUCUACAGAAUCAAAGCUAGGGUUUCAAUUCUUCAUCCAAGUAGAGAGGAUCCCUCUAGUUCUUCUAGUUCUACCUCUAGUUCAUCUAGAUCUAGUUCUAGUUCAUCUAGUUCUAGUUCUAGUUCUAGUUCCUCUAGUUCUAGUUCUAGUUCUAGUUAGUUCUAGUUGUAAUCUAGUAAAUAGGGAGAGAGAAGAGGAGAGCGGAGGAGGAGCCGGAUCUGUCGGAUCUUCCUCAACAUUGUACUUUUGCAGCAACUGGUUCGUUCUUCAUCGUUCUCUAGGUUCUUCAAUUCAUAAUUCCUGAGUUCUCUAAUUACUUGUAUUUACAUUCAAGUUAUUUAAUGGAUUCCCGCUUGCAUCAAGUGCUCUAAUCUUUGAAACAUUAGAGUAGUAAUUAAUAGAUUAGACGUGGUGUUUAGUCUUACAAUUACCUGGAAUUUCACCCAAUCUUGCGGAUUGUUGUGGUAGCCUUAUGGUAGUGACAGCCCUAACGGUCGACGUAUUCCACCUCGUUCGGAUCAGUGUUUGUAGGACCGUAGUCAGACCUUCCUAGCCCCCUUCUCAUCUCUUUCUUUGGUUAGUGCUCUGAUGUCCCGAAAUAGAUAAUCUUUGAAGUAAUUCUUGAUUCUUAGAUCAACUAGAGAACUCUCAGGAAACUUCCUCUCUUCCCACCAAAAAUAAUUAUAUAGUUAUCCUUGGGCGAUCUUGAUUCUUAACUAGUACACUCACGUUCCCUAUGGAAAAUCGAUACUCUGGAAUACUCCCAGGUGAAAGCUACAUCGGUAUCCGUGCGCUUGCAAAUUUUUCUAUUUGCGUUUAAAAUACCCAACACCGACCCAGACCGCUUCUCCAGCACGUGCAACUUCAGAGGGUCACUCUACCACCUCCGAGUCGACGGCCGAUGGAUCAUACAACGCAGCUGUUGACACUUGCUAACACCACUUGAAUACUAGGUUGUCAUCCCCAGCAUGGCACUAGAGUGUACUAGGGUAUUUAUGCGCACACAGAUAAUCCGCAAACGCACGGAUACCGUUGAAGCUUUUACCCGGUUAAAGGUUUUAUCGUAUCCACAGGGAAACGGGAGAACCAACUACGCUCUAACUUAACCAAGAUAAGUAAAUAGAUGUAAAUAGGAAACAUGGUAGAAUCGAAUAAGAACAAUAUUAAAGGUAAGAUAACAGUGAGUGAUAAUAUGGGAAUAGAGAAUAGAGCAAUUCUAGUAUAUGGGCGAUGGUAGCAGAAUAGAGAGGAUAACUAUGGUUUCUCUACUUCAAAGGGGUAUGUCUAUGUCUGGGACGAACCACGUGAUAAGGGUACACCACAAAGGAUGCUUAUCCUUAGGCCGAUAAACCCUACCCGUCCUGCUAACAAGAGGUGGACUACAGAGGACCAACAUAACUGUCACCUACGCGGCCUACCACACGACCAGCUAGACAGGGGAUAUCCACAAGUAAUCUAGGUCUAAGCACCACGCUUGCACCUAUACUAUAACUCUCACCUAUAGCGUCCUAUAGAUUAAAGUACUCAAAAGAGUUGUGAACCAGAACAUACAUGAUUAAUAAUUGCAUAAUGAAUUAGAAGUAGAUUACCAGAGUCAUCCCAUGAGCAAGCUUGAUUAGAGCUUGAUCAUGACGAAGUACAACCGGAGGAAGAACCGAUAGGCCGGCCUCUCCUCUAAUCCUCCUUCGCUCUCCAUCUCUCUACUAUCUAGAUCUACACUAGUUUAGAGAAGAGAGGAGAGCUCUCAUCUCUAAACUCUAGCUUUUGCUCUGUCUAUGAAUAAUGAAUAAUGAUCAAGGGGUGCCUCCUCCAGGGGCCAGGGGGUCUGGUUAUAUAGUCCCCUCAAGUGAACCUGGGCCGUCGGAUCAAACCGACAUUGAUUGAACGGUUAUUCUUGAUCCUUUAGGUCGGUGGAGAUCUCCCGAGAGAAAGAGUCCUGAUUGGGCUCCAAGUCAGGGCGGGCGCCAGGGCAGGAGGGCGGGCGCCCUGCCUCUGGCCUCGUUCGGCUUUCGCUUCCUUCCCGUGGCUUCUGGAGUCUUCUAGAUGGAAGAUAAUUGCGCGGCAUGUUAAUAUCUCUAUGUAAUCCCGACGUGUGGGCCUUUCUUCCAUAUUUCCUGAUAACCCCCUGCAGAAAUAGACAAACACCAAAACUCGUGGAAUUCUAUCAUAUAAAACCCUAAGUCUAGAUGUUGAUUUCAUUUAGAUCCUUUUCUUUGUUUAUUUGAUAAUUAAAUUUGAUACUUAAGGACCGUCAACAAACUGAGCUUACCUCUUGCUCGUCCCUGAGCAAGGAUAGACUCAGCAAUGGAUCAGAAGUUGUUGCAAUAUCUUAAAAAUUUGAUGGUACAUAUGCUUUUAAAUAAGAUCUCAUCUCUGAGUUAGAGUAAACGGUCAAGAACUAAAACUUACUUUACCUUUUACCAUGGGACUUGUAACCGUCACUUCUGUCUUGAGUAGUUAAAAGAUAGAACAGUCUAGCCAAGUGCCAUGUCUCUUAUUCUUGAUCAGCUAUAGCUCUGGAGUUUUUGCAGAUUUUCAAAUAAAACUCAGAGAUUCCUUGUAUGACUCUCUAAAUCUCUCUUUUGUGGUAUUUCUGGAUCCUUACCAAGGCAGUGAUGGUAUAUGCCUUCUCUCAAGAUAUGUGGUAUUUGUGGUAUAAGGCAUAGUGAUAUUGCCUUCUCUCUCACCCUACUCUAAUAAGGCUUUAAUAUCUGGAGCUCAUAGGUGGGAGACAGCUAAUACAUACUUACAAGACAUUUAUUGCAUAGUCAAACCAUGGAUCUAGAGAAACAAGUCAAUAAGUCAAAUCAAGAUGUCCAUGUGUGGCGAAUGAAUGGUGUACGGUGAUGAUGGUGAUAACAAUGGUGGAAGUCUAAUUCUACUUUUGCAUUUUUGAGGAGAUACAUACCUUCCUUGCUUUUUGAAACUUUAUGAGGAGAAUGAGAUGCUCUAUCUUUCAUUUUUUCUUUCCUCUCAGGUGGGUAUCCUCUACCCCUAAUUCUACUGUCGGACACUUGUCCAUUUUUACCUCUCGUCUCACUCUUUUUCCUUUCUUUCGAGGUUCCGGGCACUUGCCCCUUUUUAUUUCCUCGUAUAUUUUUUUCUCUUCUCUUUUUUAGAGCACUCAUCUCAUGAGAUAAUAUAGCAAGUGGUAGUAACAAGAUAACUUGAGCAUUUAUUUCACAAGGAAAAACAGAAAUAUUUUUGGUUAUUCUCUCCCGGAUUAAGAGUAGAAUAUUUUUGGGUGGUUCUGGAGAUGGAAAUGAGUGGAUAUAUGUGGAUGGUACUUCUGGAGUAGAAGUAGCAUAUAUGAGUAAAUGUGCAAGUGAAAUCUUGAUUUAACCACAUGACAAGCUCCUAAGGGUCUACACAGCUUGACCACACUCAAUGCUCAUAGUAAAUGUGUGGCUCAAAGUCUAGCAAGCAUGUAUAUAUGGCUGUCGUAGGAAUUUAAACUUUCAUCAUACAGGAACUCAUCAUGCAAUAUUUUAAAGAUUUUUCAAAGAUAAAAUUCUCCAGAAUUCUAGCAUCUCUAGGAACAGAUAAACAGCAGCUCAACCUUCCCAUAUCAUAUCCGUUAACAACUUAGAUUUCAGAUCAAGUUUUUAUCCCACAAAUUUAGAUCUAGAGCAAGCUUUAAAUUAUAACAGUUAUGUCUAAACUUAAGAGAGAACUUCAAAUUUGCAAAUUAGGCAGAGCAACUAUUCAUCAUAUCCAUGCUAGAGUUUUUUUUAUUAAGAUUCAGAUUAGCAUAGCCACUUUAUUUAUUUAUUAAACACACUAAGCAAAAGAUAUAUAUAAGCACAAAAUCUUUAUUUGGUUUUUCAUAGUUUAUGUAUUUUAAUAUUCUAAUAUAAUAUAAGUAUAAAGAUAGGUAGAAAUACUUAGCGAGAUAAAUGGGGGUGCUCUCCCCCAAGCUGAAUUUUGACGUAAUUUCUCUUGAUGUAGCUAGCAGGUGGCAGAGGUGUAUUUGAAAGUUAGCAGCAUUCUGACAGCGAUUAGAAUGUCCGCCAUCUGCUAGUCUUCUUGAUUCUUAAAUUCUGUGGAGCUCAAAUAGACAACAAAGCUUGUGGAACUAAUUAAGUGUUAGGAUAAAUAUCUAGCCUUCAUCAUGUUGAGCUUCCUCAAUAAAUAUUACUCCCUGUUUUUAUAUUUUUAUUUUAUAAAGCAGAAAAGAAAUAUUUAUUUUAUUUUUAUGCCACCACAGUGAAGGUACUUAUGGGUUUUAUGCCACUCGUAUACUCACAUGGGGCUUAGUAUUUUUUAACAUUUUUAUUUUCUUUUCAAGAUAGCAUGAUUAACUAAUAAUCUAUUUAAGGAAAGUAAAUAAUUAAAGGGAAAAGGGAAUGCAGAAAGGAUAAAUAUUUAUAACUACUGAUCUUACCUUUCGGCGAUGGUUCAAUAUUUUAAGUCUUCUUAACAAGACUUCUCACCGUGUUCAUUCUUCAGGUGCGUCAUUUGAUUCAGGUGCGGACCUUGACGUCUGCACCUCUUGAUACGGUGUCACCCAUGUUCUUCGUUUGCCCAGCAGUUCGAAGUGCGGCGUUGGCAGUAACCUGCUCAGUGUGUUUGUGCUCGUAGAUCCAGGUCCUUCACUUGGUAGAGUCUGAGAGUUAUAAAACUCCUCCGUGUUUUGCUCAAAGUGUACCUGCUCAUAGAGACAAGGCAGAGAUCAAGUGCAUGGGUCCUGUUGGUGGAAAACACCAACAGAACCAAAAGUGUAUUUGUUCUUCUCUAACCUUAAGCAUAGUGAGCAAGACAAAUUUGAUGGAUAAUAAGAUCAUGAGUGUAGUAAUUAAAACAUUUGUCAGAUCAGAUCGCUUCAACCUUAUAGAAAGAUAAUCUAUCUAUGUAUAUGUCUUUUUCUUUAUAUCUCUCAAAGAUUGAGUGUGUAACAUUUUAGCUCGUAUGAUUAGGAGUGUGGGAUCAUGGAGGUAGUACUAAGAACAAGGAUUAAAGGACUAAACAGGUUGAAUCAGUUGGGUUGGUUAAUCUAGAGUUGUAAAUCAUACAUGUUUGUCUCUUUUAUUUAUAUGAACGCAAGAACCAAGGAGAAGCUUAUAAAAGUGAUAGUCAAGUACCUUAAGAUGUUACCUUGCUUGAAGAGUGAUGGUACAGUAUCACCUUGUGGAAGCUUUUCUUUCUUAGCGGUUGUGCAUCGUGUUUGUGGCACCCUCCAUGGAUCAUCUCUCUAUGAUGAAUGAGCUAUGUCCUUCUUGUGCAAAUUGUUAAACUUCAUGUGUCACUCUCUUCGUCUCUGAUGUGAGUUUAUCUCAGGACUUCCCAAAUCGAUUUUGAAAGUUUUUCUGCAGGGGUUAGUCCGACAAAAAUAUACCAAUGUCUACACAAGCAGUUUUUAGUUCAAUAACCGAACUAGACUCCAUGUCUAAUCAGAUUAAGGAAGGCUGUUUAACCUAAGCACCAUGCUUAAUUUAAAAGCCAAUAGAAGUAUGUGCAGUACUUCCAAACUAACACUUACUAGUAAAUAGACAAAGGUAGCAUGACAGCAUUUAUAGAGAUCUACUCAAGUGGAGAUGAAGUAGUGUGAUUUGUAUUUAACAAAUUGAGCAUGUCUUAAAGGUAGGGACAACCAACAUAGCAACAAGGCAAAUGUUGUAAAGUACUCCCCCAAGCUUGAAUUUUGCAAAAUUCAAGUUUGGAUGAAUUUAAUGUUGUAUGAUGAUUGGUUGGACAUACCUUGUGCUUGUCAUUCAUCCGAUCUUCUUGCUCCAAUCCUGUAAAGGCUAGUGACAAGAAUACCCGAAGGAAUAUUUUUACAAUUAUCCUUAUAUGCUCAAUACACAAGGUAAUGUUGCAAAUAAUUAAAAACUCAUGUUACGAUCUGAUUAGUGCUUAUUUUAGGACACUAAGCUUGUCCUUGGGAAACCAUCAAUUUAUGUCGGCGAAGUGGUUUCCCUUCCAACGCUGACCUAAAUCAAGAUCAACUCAACGAGAUCUGCAAUAUUUAUUAUAGACAUAUGCAUCGACAACCGCCCUUUUAAAGUUUUUAUAAAUAGAAAGGAAGAGGGGGUUGGAGAUCUUAAAUGUGGUGAUGUUGGAGAGACCAAUAGAUUGGGAAGAUGUUGCAUAUGAGCAUGGAGUAAACAAAGUGGCUAUGAAAUAAAUUCCAUGAUCAUUAAUGUUAUUUUCGUCUCCAUUCUGAAUGUUUAGAGUUCCUCUUGGAUUGGUCUCACUUAUGUCCUCUUCUAUAGUUGGAUGAAUCCCAUCUUCAAAGUCAGUCAAGAACUCACCAUUUGAAAUUGAACCAAAGUCAGAAUUCAUUAAGGCUUCUUCCUUAUCCAUCCAUUCUACACAUUCUAGCCAUUUAGAACUUGUGAUCAGGAAAGGGGAGGUGUUAGAAUUUUCAAUAUGGCUUAGCUCUCCUUUACUUGAUGUGUCAUCCUCGACUUCUUCAUAACAGGAACCAGGACAUUCUCUAAGAGAACCAUUAUUGCGAGGAUUUGAAUUAUCCCUGCUUGAAGGUCUCUUAUGGAACCAGAAGUCUAAACCAUCAGCAUCUGAAAGAUUUAAGGUCGGAAUUCCUUCCUCCCUUGGUGAAUUUUGGGGUAUUGAUGGUUUAGGAUCGAUAGCUAAAGUUUGGAAUUGAAGUGGUUGUGAUCUGGCUAUCGAAACUUCUUCUUCUUGUCUACGAACUGGUUCUGUCUCUUUCUCAGGGAUAUAAAAGCUAGUAGACUUUCCACUUAAUAAAUCAAUCAAAUUCCAAGCUUCACUAGCAGGUAGGUGAUAGAAGGAUCCUCUAGAGGCUGUAUUCAAGGUUUGCUUAUUUUCCCUACUAAGGCCCUCAAAAAAGUGAAUUAGAAGAACUUCUUCUGGAAUAGAAAGCUUUGGGCCAGUGAGAGUAAGGUUAAUAAAGCGGUCCCAUGAUUUCCUAAGAGAUUCUUCUUCCAGUUGUCUAAAAGAAAUAAUCUCACGCCGAAGUUCCGCCACUUUGGAGAUUGGAAAAUAUUUAGAAAGAAAACUACUAUAUAACUCCUUCCAAUCUCCAUGAACACUCCCUACUUUGAGUUUGUACCAAUGUCUAGCUUUUACCGUUAAAGAGAACGGAAAGAGCUUCCAUUUGAGGGUCUCAUCAGACAUUCCUUCUAUGCGAAGGAGGUCACAGACUUGAUAAAACUCUCUUAGGUGUGUGUAUGGGUUUUCCUCACCUUCUCCCGAGAAAGGUUGUUUUUGAACAAAUUCUAUGUAUUCGGGGUCUAUCUCAAAACUAGAUGCUAUGAUAGGCUUUGAAGAUUUUGGUGGUUCGAGAUGUAUGCCCGUAGGUCUAUGAAAUUCAUAGAUAGACAUGUUUGAAUUCAUGAUAGACCAGAGAUCAAGGAUUAGAUAAGAAGAAAGAUUAGCAGAGAUGAGGCAAAGGAUAAAAGGAAAAUAUAUUUUUUUAUAUAUUUUUAUUUAGAAAAUGAUUAAGCUAGUUCGCAGUCAACUCAGCAACCGUUUCCUUGGCAACGGCGCCAAAAAUGCUUGUUGACACUUGCUAACACCACUUGAAUACUAGGUUAUCAUCCCCAGCAUGGCACUAGAGUGUACUAUGGUAUUUAUACGCACACAGAUAAUCCACAAGCGCACGGAUACCGUUGAAGCUUUUACCCAGUUAAAGGUUUUAUCGUAUCCACAGGGAAACGGGAGAACCAACUACGCUCUAACUUAACCAAGAUAAGUAAAUAGAUGUAAAUAGGAAAGAUGGUAGAAUCGAAUAAGAACAAUAUUACAGGUAAGAUAACAGUGAGUGAUAAUAUGGGAAUAGAGAAUAGAGCAAUUCUAGUAUAUGGGCGAUGGUAGCAGAAUAGAGAGGAUAACUAUGGUUUCUCUACUUCAAAGGGGUAUGUCUAUGUGUGGGAUGAACCACGUGAUAAGAGUACACCACAAAGGAUGCUUAUCCUUAGGCCGAUAAACCCUACCCGUCCUGCUAACAAGAGGUGGACUACAGAGGACCAACGUAACUGUCACCUACGCGGCCUACCACACGAUCCAGCUAGACAGGGGAUAUCCACAAGUAAUCUAGGUCUAAGCACCACGCUUACACCAAUACUACAACUCUCACCUAUAGCGUCCUAUAGAUUAAAGUACUCAAAAGAGUUGUGAACCAGAACAUACAUGAUUAAUAAUUGCAUAAUGAAUUAUAAGUAGAUUACUAGAGUCAUCCCAUGAGCAAGCUUGAUUAGAGCUUGAUCAUGAUGAAGUACAACUGGAGGAAGAACCGACAGGCCGACCUCUCCUCUAAUCCUCCUUCGCUCUCCAUCUCGCUACUAUCUAGAUCUACUCUAGUUUAGAGAAGAGAGGAGAGCUCUCAUCUCUAAACCCUAGCUUUUGCUCUGUCUAUGAAUAAUGAUCAAGGGGUGCCUCCUCCAAGGGCCAGGGGGUCUGGUUAUAUAGUCCCCUCAAGUGAACCUGGGCCGUCGGAUCAAACCGACAUUGAUUGAACGGUUAUUCUUGAUCCUUUAGGUCGGUGGAGAUCUCCCGAGAGAAAGAGUCCUGAUUGGGCUCCAAGUCAGGGCGGGCGCCCAGGGCAGGAGGGCGGGCGCCCUGCCUCUGGCCCCGUUCGGCCUCCGCUUCCUUCCCGUGGCUUCUGGAGUCUUCUAGAUGUAAGAUAAUUGCGCGGCAUGUUAAUAUCUCUAUGUAAUCCCGACGUGCGGGCCUUUCUUCCGUAUUUCCUGAUAACCCCCUGCAGAAAUAGACAAACACCAAAACUCAUGAAAUUCUGUCAGAUAAAACCCUAAGUCUAGAUGUUGAUUUCAUUUAGAUCCUUUUCUUUGUUUAUUUGAUAAUUAAAUUUGAUACUUAAGGACCGUCAACAGCAGCACAGUUUCAGGCCGUGCCGAGGGACUCCAUUGCUCCGCCUCCACCUCCUUUGUCUUAGGUUUUUGGUGCUUAAUGCCAAAGGGGGAGAGAGUGAGAGUAUGUUAUUAGGGGGAGCUAGAGCUAGCUAGUGAAGGCUCUUGAUUAUUUUGUGUGCUACUCCAUGCAUCAUGUUUACGUUUAUGCAUUGCAUUUGUGUGAGAUACUCUUGUGAGAUACACUUAUGGUUGUGAGACAUGACCCUUUUUGCUUCAUUGUGAUUUCUUUAUGUCAUGUGUUUGGCUCAUAUUACUUUGCUUCCGCGUUUUUACGCCGUUGUUCUGUGAGCCACAUGUGUUUAUAUCCUGUUGUAUACAUCCCACAUAUAUGGAUGCAGGAUGGUAGACUUGGUUGAUAUAAGCAUGCAUAAUCCUUUUUGUUCUUAUUGUCUCAUGCUUAUAGAAACCAAGUCAUUUGAAAACCUCAUUUCCUUUCAUACUCGAGGUUAUUGUCAUCAAUCACCAAAAAGGGGAGGUUAUUGUCAUCUAGGCCCCUAAUGAUUUCGGUGAUUAAUGACAAUGUUGAUUACUCUGACUAACGUGUGUUUUCAGAGGCAAAGUCAUUAGUAAGGUCAUGGUAAUAGGUACUCGAUGAACAGGGACAUACAUGCCUACUUAAUAGUGGAAAUCGUUUCGGUUUUCAAAGGAUGGAUGGACAUCGUCAAGACUAGACUAGGUCUAAGUGCCAUAUGAUGAAGAAGGGCACUUAGAGUAGUUUAGGACUUUGUUUUCCUUUGACCGUACUAUUAAGAGGGGCUUUGAUCUAGUAGCUUGACUUAGGCAAGGCUUUAGGUUUAGGUGUGGUGCACACUUGGUAAACCUAGCACUAGGCAGCUCAGAGAUAGUCCUUGGAUUGAGAAGAACCAACUUUGUUUUGGAACAGUUGCGUUUCGACGAAGUUAGGGUGCCUAAGUAGGCACCAGACGCUGCACCGGAUGCUCUGUGAGUGCAUCCGGUGAGGUCCUUUAGCCGUUGGAGUCUUUGGUGCCUAGGGUUAGGCACCGGAUGCUAGCACCGGACUCACCAGGUAGCGUCCGGUCCCAUACCCAGGGAGUGUGUAAACUUGCCCUGAGCACCGGAUGCUAGCACCGGACGCACCGGGUAGCGUCCGGUCUUAAACUCAGGAAGUUUGUAAAACUCCUCGGAGCACCGGACGGUGUCACCGGACGCUUGGUGCAGAGCGUCCGGUGCAACAUCAACAGUGUCCGGUGACCCCAUUUUCAGUGGAAAACGGUUGGCCGACCCUUGGACUUCGUGGGGGCGUAUUUAUACUCCUCCACCUCGUCCAUGAGAGGUCUCUUGCCCAUUUGAACAUCUGAGAAACUUGUUGUGGAGCAAGAGAGUAGCAAUAGCCUAGAGAGGAUUGAGAUUUGAGAGAAUUCUUAUGAGAAUCCUUCUCUAGUUGAAUUCCAAGAGUCAAGUGUGCAUCCACCACUCUCUAGUGCCUUGUUUGGGUCAAGUGAGAGUUCUUUGCUUGUUACUCUUGGUGAUCGCCAUCACCUAGACAGUUCGGUGGUGAUUGGAGGCACGAAGACCGCCCGAAGUUUUUGUGGGUGGCUCGUGUCAAGCUUGUGAGCGGUUUUGGGCGAUUCACCGAGACGAAGUGUCGAAGAAUCAGCCCAUAGAGAGCCAUUGGUCCUUGCACGGACCAAGGGGGAGCAAGACCCUUUGCGCGGGUGCUCCAACGAGGACUAGUGGAGAGUGGCGACCCUCCGAUACCUCGGCAAAACAUCGCCGAGCACUUUCUUCCACUACUCCUUUACUUUCUAGCAUUUACUUUGUGUUUUUACAUUCCUAGAAUUGCCAUGCUAGAAUAGGAUUGGAACUAGGUUGCAAAUCUUUUUAUCCGGUAGCUCUCUAAUCACACUAGACACAAGGGGUUGAAUUGGAGCUUAUAGGUUGCUUAAAUUUUUAGAGAAGCCCAAUUCACCCUCCUCUUGGGCAUCUUGAUCCUUUUAGCCUUGAUGAGCGCGUAGUUGCGUGUGGUCUGAGAGAGGGCAUCCCCUAUGGGCAUGCCAUGGAUGUUGCCUAGGUACUUGGUGUCAAUGGUGAUGUAUCUCUGCUUCGCUCGAUGACUAGGCGUCCGCUUAGCCACCGAUAGUUGCUGGGGAUCCUGCCGGUGACCUCGGAUGCAAGAUGUGUAAGACAUAAUCUACAACUAAUCCUUUCUUUCUCUAAUAGUGAUCAUAGGCAGGCAAUAGGUCAGCCCUUGGUCAUAUAGGAGUAUGGCAAUAGGCCUUUCUAGUACAGUAGUGGGUAGAAGCAUACAUCAGCCAUACUUGGUAGGCGGAUGAUGUAUGUGGUGUACUAGGAGUAGUUGGGGCUGUACUCAGCCAUGCCUUGUGUACGUUAUAGUUGGUACAAGGCCUGUAUAUAUACACUAUGUAUGCAAUGAAGGGAAAGCAAUUCAAGUGCCACAUUUCCUGGGUUCAAGUUUUAGCCAGCGCUGAAACUGAGUGUGUGUGUGUGUGUGCCUGAGCUCGGCUCAUCUUCUACCUUGGGUCAGGGUAGAGGAAGAGGGAAGGUGAGUAGGGACUACUCACCAGGUGCUUGUGUCCAGGUGCCAACAAUUGGUAUCAGAGCCGUACAAGCCAUAGCUAGGUCCACCAACCAGCAAUGGCAGAGAGUGCGAUCCGGAACGACAGUGGGGAGGGAGGUGAUCGCUAGCUCUAGCCAGUACCACCGCAGGUCAAAGUACGCGUGGUCAAGGAGUAUGGCGGUAGCAGCUCCUGACCCAUGCUCACCCGCACCAACUAUGGUGAGUGGGCAGUGCAGAUGAAGUGGAAGUUAUGGGUGCAGAAGUGGUAGCGGGCGGUUGAGGAGGAUGACCAGAGCGAGGAUGUCCAUGUGGGGGUCAUGGAGGCGCUCAUGGCCUCAACGUCAGCGGAGUACCACGAGGCGCUGGGCGCCAAGGAGACCGCGAAGCAAGCCUGGGAGAUGCUGGAGUCGCUGCGCGUCGGCUCGGACUGAGCCAAGCAGGCCAGGAUUCAGCAGCUGCGCCAGGAGCUCAACGACAUCCGGUUCAAGUCUGCAGAGUCGGUGGAGGACUUAACUCUUUGUCUCCAAUCUCUGGCCACGUAGCUGGCCACCUACGGCAAGAAGGUGGAGGACGAGGACCUCGUCACCAAGCUGCUAUGCGUCAUGCCGGUGAAGUACUCGCAGCUCGCCAUGUCCAUCGAGACGAUGUUGGACAUCUCCACACUGUCUCUAGAGGAUGUGGCUAGGCGGCUACGGGUGGCAGAAAGCCGCAGCACGGCAGCCCCGGAGAAAGAGAAGCCCAAGUUGCUGCUGACCGAGGAAGAGUGGACCGCGCCCAUGAAGGACAAGCAGCAGAGAUGGCGCAAGGGGCACGGGAAGUAGCCGACGGACAAGAAGAAGAAGAAGAAGAACACCGACCCCAAUGCCUGUAGGCGCUGCGGGAAGGUGGGGCACUGGGCACAGGAAUGCCCAGAGAAGAAGCCAGAGAAGAAGGAAGAGGCCCAUCUAGCUUGGGACGACAGCGACGACGAGUGCGCUUUGUUGAUGGGGGAGUAUUGUGCGUUGCAGGAAGGCAAAGGAGGGGAAGCUGAGGCGGAGCAGCGGAUUGCGCCGCAGGCCGUCGAACUUGACGAGUCACGCGCUCGUUCUCCUUGGAGCGGCUGGUGACAAGCUGGAGCAGAGGUGGUAUCUGGACUCAGGUGCGAGCAACCACAUGACAGGGAGCCAUGCCAUCUUCUCCGAGCUCGAUGAGACAGCCACCAGAAGCGUGAAGUUCGGUGAUGGCUCAAGGGUGCAGAUCCGUGGCCACAGCACCAUCCUCUUUCGGUGCCAGAACGGCGAGCAUCAUGCCCUGAUGGACGUUUACUUCAUCCCCCAGCUGUGCACCAGCAUCAUCGGCCUGGGGCAGCUGGACGAACACGGCAGCGAGGUCCUGAUUCACGAAGGAAUGUUGCGGAUCAGGGACAGGGAGUGGCAUCUUCUCGACAAGGUAUAGCGCUCCCGUAACCGUCUCUAUCUCCUGGAUUUGAAGAUAGAGCAGCCUGUGUGUUUGGCAGCGUCGUGCAAGGAGGAGCCAUGGCCGUGGCAUGGCUGGUUCGGCCACCUCAGCUUCGACGCACUAGGCCGUCUUGGGAAGAUGGUGACAGGGCUGCUGGUGAUCCAGCAUGUCAGCGAGCUGUGCGACAGCUGCUUGGUGUUGACGGUCCAUAAUGCUCAUAUUUAACCGUCAACUAAUCAUGGAAAAGGACCUAUAUGCAACCAACAUCCAAAAUUAGGGUUUCAUCUGACAUAAUUCCACGAGUUUUGGUGUUUGUCUAUUUCUGCAGGGGGUUAUCAGGAAACAUGAAGGAAAGGCCCACAUGUCGGGUUUACAUAGAGAUAUUAACGUGUGUGCCAAUUUUCUAUCAUCUAGAAGACUCCAGAAGCCACGAGAACGAACGGGAGGCCGAUCGGGCCUGGGGGCAGGGCGCCCGCCCUCCCCCCUUGGGCGCCCGCCUAGCUACAGGAGCCAAUCAAGCUCCGCCUCGCGGAUCAUGCUCCACCGACCUAAAGGAUUAAGGAAAACCGUGCGAUUAAGGUCGGUUUGAUCCAACGGCCCACGUUCAUUUGGAAGGGCUAUAUAAGUAGGCCCGCUGGCCCCUGGAGAACAUACCUCUUCUACAAAAUCAAAGCUAGGGUUUCUAUUAUUCAUCCAAGUACAGAGGAUCCCUCUAGUUCAUCUAGUUCUAGUUCUAGUUCAUCUAGUUCUAGUUAGUUCUAGUUGUAAUCUAGAAAAUAGGGAGAGAGAAGAGGAGAACGGAGGAGGAGCCAGAUUUGUCGGAUCUUCCUCAACAUUGUACUUUUGCAGCAACUGGUUCGUUCUUCAUCGUUCUCCAAGUUCUUCAAUUCAUAAUUCCUAAGUUCUUUAAUUACUUUUAUUUACAUUCAAGUUGUUUAUUGGAUUCCCGCUUGCAUCAAGUGCUCUAGUCUUUGCAACGCUAGAGUAGUAAUUAACAGAUUAGACGUGGUGUUUAGUCUUGCAAUUACCUGGAAUUGCACCCAAUCAUGCGGAUUGUUGUGGUAACCCUAGGGUAGUGACAGCCCUCACGGUCGACGUAUUCCACCUCGUUCAGAUCGGUGUUUGUAGGACCGUAGUUAGAGCUUCCUAGCCCCCUUCUCAUCUCUUUCUGUGGUUAGUGUUCUGAUGUCCCAAAAUAAAUAAUCUUUGAAGUAAUUCUUGAUUCUUAGAUCAACUAUAGAACUCUCAGGAAACUUCGUCUCUUCCCACCAAAAAUAAUUAUAUAGUUAUCCUUGGGCGAUCUUGAAUCUUAAUUAGUACACUCACGUUCCCUAUGGAAAAUCGAUACCCUGGAAUACUCCUAGGUGAAAGCUACAUCGGUAUCCGUGCGCUUGCGGAUUUUUCUGUUUGCGUUUAAAAUACCCAACACUUGGUAGGGAAACAAAGGAGGAUGCUGUUCCUGAAGGCCGCCAAAUACCGCUCGGCGGAUCCGCUUGAGCUGGUCCACGGGGACUGUUGAUAUUUGGGAACGCAAUAAGGAAUUGAUCCGCAAGCGCACGGAUAUCGGUGAGCACUUCACCCGGGAAGUUAUCCAGAGUAUCGUAUUUAUUUUUUUACCACUAGGAGAAAGAGUGCAUCUGACUAACCGGUCUAUUACUACUAACCUUUUAGGCACAAAGAAUGUCUUUCGAUGUGAGUGAUAAAUAGAGAAGACUGCAACCGUAGUCUCUUUCUAACCUUGGUAAGGAUGAUCUACUGUUCUAAUGGGGAGGCUAACGGAAUCUAGACACCACAAAGGAUGUUCAACCCGCACCUAUAAACCCUAUCCUUCCUGCUAACGAGAUGUGAUCUGCAAAGGUAACUCGGAAUUGUCACGUUCCUCACUACUACCACGGUCCAGCUAGUCAGGGAAUAUCUAUGAGUACCCCAGCCUAAACACCACGUUUACACCAGCAAUGAUUACUCUAAACUCUACGCGAAGAGAUUAAAGUAAACUCAUAAACCAGAAGAGCAAUAAAACAAGAACUUACUAGAAUUUAGAAGUCGAAAUACUGAAGAAUCCUAGGAGCAAGCUUCGGGUUAGGAGAACUUGAUCCCGCAGGUACAAGCUUGGAGUAGACACCGACAGGCCGGGCUUCCUCCAAUCUACACCUCCACUCUAUCUCUCUCAAUCUAGUAGAAACUAGAAGAUCUAUUUCUACCUUACAUUGAUUGCUAAGCCUAAAAAGAAAUAUUAAUUAGAGAAGAGAUUUUCCUUUGAGGGCACCCCUCAGUCUCUAUGAUAAUUUCUUCAUGUCUUCUCCAGGGGCCAGGGGGUCUCCUUAUAUAGUCCUCCUCCUAUAUGCGUUUUUGGAUCGGUAGGCGAGGUGGUACUAUGUUUUUCUUGAUCCAAUAGGUCGGUGGAACAUCCCGUGCGAAGAGAGUCCUGAUUGACAUCCAGCAGGGGGCGGGCGCCCAGGUCACCAGGGCGGGCGCCCUGGGCCUGGCCCCUUUCGGCCUCCGUCUUCUUCCCGUGGCUUCUGGAGUCUUCUAGAUGGUAGAAAAUUGCGCGGUGCGUUGAUAUCUCUAUGUAAUCCCGACAUGUGGGCCUUUCUUCCUUAUUUCCUGAUAACCCCCUGCAGAAAUAGAUAAACAACAAAACUCGUGGAAUUCUGUCAGAUCAAACCCUAAUUCUAGGUGUUGGUUGUAUAUUGGUCCUUUCUCUUGUUUAUUUGAUGAUCAAAAUUGAUACUUAAGAACCGUCAACAAAUACCCCCAUACUUAGGCUUUUACUCAUCCUCGAGAAAAGGAUGGUUAAGAAUAAUAUCUGGGGUAAAACAUUUUAAAACAUUCUUUAUAUUUGCAGGGUGUUAAAAUUCCACUGUGUACCAUAGUCAGGUAUGUUUAUGGUUAAGAGUAAAGAUCCUUUCUUCUCAAUCCUGUCACUUGGAGUUUUUGUAUAUUUUUGAAAGAAAGUUAGCAUACCUUUUGAUCCUCAUAGGUUCUCUCAGAUCACUCAUUAUCUUUCAUAUAUCUCACUGCGGUUGUCUGAAUUUGCAAAAAUUCUCCAAUAUACUUACUUUGCAUUUAUUGCCUGAUCAAAACGGGAUCCAAGGAGGGGAAUGUCAUACUCUUAGAUCAAAGACUUUGAAAAUUAAAAUCUUUGUCAACUCUUACUGGCAUAUUGCUUAUUAGAGGGACCAUGGGCUAUCAUUUUUUUAAGUGGAUACCGAGGUACCCCUAAUUCUACUGCCGGACACUUGUCCAUUUUUUCUGCGAGGUUGUCGAGCACUUGCUCCUUUUUAUUUCCUCGAAAUAUCUCUAUUUUUGCAUAGCCCAUGCCUCUAAUGCAAUAAUACUUCGGAAGAGUGAAUUUUUCUGAAUAAAUGUCUUGAUCUUAGGAGCAUGAUAAAUCUCUCAACAAGGGUCUAACUCAUUUUGAACAAACUCAAUACAGAGUAGAUAGCUUUUUAUAAUCAUAAUUAAUAUAUUUAGGCAUAUAAAACACUGAGGAUGGUAGCUAGAAUUUUGAAUAUUUUGAAAUAAAUUCUCCAAGCAACAAUGAUAUCAAGAAUAAGAAACUCAUACUCUACCAUCACAUAUUCCAUAAUGAAUUAAGUAACAUAGGGUUUUAAAAUGAUUUUAUAAUAAUUGCAAGUUUUUAGGAAAUAUCACAGAUUGAGAUUAAUCAUGAUUAGAAAUAUUUUAAUCUUUUUAAUUUAUCAUGUCGGAAACAAUAUUCUGCCUAAUCAAGAUAUGUGUAUGUGUAAAGUAAAGUGUGCAGAGUGUGUACCUGAAUCGUGGAGUGGUGUAGUCGGAGUGUGUUUAGGCAUGUCGAGUGAUCUCUCCCAUACUUGUUUUCUGCUUUCUUGCACAAAAAAUAAAGUAGAGACACACGAGACAUAAUAAUAAUAAUAUUCUUUAUUAAUCUUGAGGCAUUUAUUACAAAAGACUAGUAGCAAACUGAUAAUAGCAAACUGAUGAUAAUAGCAAACCUAAACCGAAUUUAAGGACAUAUGACUAAAAUGUAUUGCCUCAUGGUCUAAUCUAGAUAACUUAGCGGCGCUCUAAUUCCUUAAUCUUCUUGUUGGCACUGGCAAGAUCCUGCCUAAGGCCUAGUAUAAUGGUGUUGUGGUUAGAGAGCCGCCUAGUGAGGGAAUUAAUCGAGGACUGGAGAUCUAUGAUAACUCUGUCUAGUCUGCGAACGUCCUCAUCAAUAUCGACUAUAGUCUUGCGACGCUUGGGAGGUGUCUCAAAAGCAUUGAGAGCGUGCUUCGGGGCUGCCUUUGGAGGGAUGAAACGGACUUUGGCUGCUCGAAUCCCUUCAAAGUAAGGCCUUUCCUCCUCUGUAGUGUAGCGUACACUGCUGAUCUCGCCGCUCCGGUUGGUCUUGACUCCAACGACCCUUUCAUUGGGUCUAGGUGGAAGGAUCCUAGUGCCGGUUGGCACCUUGAUAGUGGUCUUUGUCUUGGAUGAUGAUCCUUUGAGGAGUAGGGGUUGUGGCGGUGCGGUGAGAACUGGUUGAGCAUGGUAGGAUUGGGCGGAGCUGCGUUGGCGUAAUGGCAUGGCUUCUAGCUGUCGCUCUGUGUUGGCCGGGACGAGAGCACGGGCAUCGGGGUCUUCCACAGGCUCCAUGUUGAGGUUGAAGGGGAGGACUUCCCAAUCAUCGUGGUACUUCUCGGCCAUUGGAGUAGCAAGGAACUAAUCAAACUCUAAUUGAAGGAGAGAAGGCUUGGUGGCUUGGUGUUUGAAAACUGAGGUCAGGGGUCUGUUUAUAUAGGGGUCAAAAGGUGCCUCUAUGGGUUGUUCGGGUUGCUCCCGUUGACGUGCGUGUGAAACUUUCCAUCCGAGGGAUUAUUCGAAUUACCAUAAGUGCAUUUUCCAUAACAGAGAAAAUCGGGACCGAGGGGGAACAGGAGCUGGGCGCCCGCCCACCUGAGCUGGGCGCCCGCCCUCUCGCUGGCCCCUCUGUGGGCCCACUUUCUCGAGCGCGUUUCUAGAUGCGAAAUUAUUUAGAAAAAUAUAUAUAUGACCCAAAAUCAUCAGACUAAAAAGGUCCGGCUCUAAUUCUCCAUAGGAAGGUAAAAAUGGACUACGUCUAUUUCUUCAAAUUCUUCAUUGGGUUCUAAAAAUAAUUUAAGACGUUGACCAUUUACCUUGAAUAACGUACCUUCGCUAUUUUAAAGUGUGAUAGCUCCGUGGGAUGAUGAAUUAAUUACCUUGAAUGGUCCUUCCCAUUUGCUCCGGAGUUUUCCAUGCCCGAAAAGCUUCACCCUGGAAUUAAAAAGUAAUACCUUAUCUCUGGGUGUGAACUCCUUCUUCUUGAUUCUCUUGUCAUGCCACCUUUUGACUCUUUCUUUGUAGAUCUUUGAAUUGUGAUAUGCCUUCUCUCGCCAUUCUUCCAAUUCUGAUAGUUGCAUUCUUCUAUAAUCUCCAGCAACAUCUAGGUCCAUAUUCCAUCUCUUUAUGGCCCAGUGUGCUUUGAACUCUAGUUCAACAGGUAGAUGGCAAGUCUUCCCGUACACCAAUUGGUAUGGAGACAUUCCGAUUGGGGUCUUGUAUGCUGUCCGGUAUGCCCAGAGUGCAUCGGGUAACUUGUCUUUCCACGCCGUUCCCAUUUCAUUUACUGUCUUCUGAAGAAUAUUCUUGAUUUGUUUGUUGGAAGUCUCUGCUUGGCCACUUGUCUGAGGAUGAUAGGGGGUAGCGACGUUGUGACGGAUUCCAUGUCUUGAUAGAUAUUGCUUGAAGCGUUUGUCGAUGAAGUGUGCUCCUCCAUCACUUAUCACUACUCUGGGGACUCCAAAUCUUGGAAAUAUAAUUUCUUCGAACAUCCUCUUUGAACUGACGUUGUCGGCAUGCUUGCAAGGUAAUGCUUCUACCCACUUGGAGACAUAGUCAACCGCCACCAAGAUGUACUCGCACUUCUUUGAUGGAGGAAAUGGACCCAUGUAGUCUAUUCCCCAGACAUCAAAGAGCUCAAUCUGAAGGUUGUUGGUGAGUGGCAUUGCAUCCCUCGUAUUUAUGUUUCCGUGUCUUUGACAUGGCCCACAUCUUCUGAUAUAUUGCUUCGUGUCUUCAUACAUUGUAGGGCAGUAGAAUCCACACUGCCAGAUCUUUGAAUGUGUACGGAAUGCUCCAUAGUGACCUCCAUAUGGUGAUGAAUGACAUCUGUCGAUGAUCUUCCACCCUUCUUCAGUGGUCACACAUCUCCUGAGUAAGCCAUCAGAGCAUACUCGGAAGAGGUAUGGCUCAUCCCAUAUAUGUGAACGACUUUCUUGAAUAAGCUUCUUCUUGUUUGCUCCUGGUGGUACAUACCCUGAAACCAUAAAAUUAACAAUAUCUGCAUACCAGGGGUCAGACCUGUUAAUCCCGUAGAGCAUGUCGUCCCGGAGUGAAUCAUUGAUGGGGGUUUCCUGUGGACUCUUAAAGUACAUUCUAGACAAGUGAUCAGCAACAGAAUUUUCUACUCCCUUUUUAUCUUUUAUUUCUAAGUCAAAUUCUUGGAGUAAUAAGAUCCAUCUAAUCAGGCGAGGUUUAGCAUCUUUUUUAGUGAGCAAAUAUUUUAGUGCAGCAUGAUCAGUGUAAACAAUUAUUUUAGCUCCAACUAAAUAAGAUCUAAAUUUAUCAAUGGCAAAGACAACAGCCAGAAGCUCUUUUUCAGUGGUUGCAUAAUUAAGUUGAGCUCCUGUCAAAGUUUUACUGGCAUAAGCAAUUGCAUGAUGCUUCUUAUUUUUAGUUUGUCCUAAUACUGCCCCCACAGCAUAAUCACUAGCAUCACACAUAAUUUCAAAAGGCAACGACCAAUCAGGGGGUUGAAUGAUUGGUGCAGAGAUGAGUGCUUUCUUUAAUAAAUUAAAAGAUGUUAGACAUGCAUCAUCAAAUUUGAAAGGAGCAUCCUUGGCUAGCAAAAGAGUAAGUGGUCUAGCAAUAAAUGAAAAAUCUUUUAUGAAUCUACGAUAAAAACCAGCAUGGCCAAGAAAGCUUCGAAUUCCUUUUAUAUUCACAGGUGGAGGUAGUUGUUCAAUUACUUCAAUUUUAGCAUUGUCUACCUCAAUACCUCUUUCAGACACUAAAUGUCCUAGCACUAUUCCUUCUCUAACCAUAAAAUGACAUUUUUCCCAAUUAAGGAUUAAGUGCUUUUCUUCACAUCUUUGCAAAACCUUGUCUAAGUUUUCAAGACAACUAUCAAAAGUUUUUCCAUAAACAGAGAAAUCAUCCAUGAAAACUUCCAUAAUCUCUUCAAUCAUAUCAGAAAAUAUAGACAUCAUGCAUCUUUGAAAAGAAGCUGGUGCAUUACAUAACCCAAAAGACAUUCUACGGUAAGCAUAGGUUCCAUAUGGGCAUGUAAAAGUGGUUUUGCUUUGAUCGUCGGGAUGGAUCGGGAUCUGAUGAUACCCUGAAUAUCCAUCUAAGAAACAGAAGAACGAAUGGUUUGCUAACCGCUCUAGCAUCUCAUCUAUAAAAGGUAAAGGAAAGUGAUCUUUUCUCGUGGCUUUGUUUAGUUUUCUAUAGUCUAUGCACAUCCGCCAUCCUGUGACGGUGCGUUGCGGAAUUAGCUCGUUCUUUUCAUUCAUAAUAACAGUCAUGCCUCCCUUCUUAGGCACAACUUGCACUGGGCUUACCCACUCACUGUGCGGCAAAGGAUAUAUAAUCCCUGCAUGCAGCAACUUUAUAACUUCCUUUUUAACUACCUCUCUCAUAGUGUUAUUAAGUCUAUGUUGGGGUUCUCGAGAGUGGUGAGGUCGUUGUCCCGAUCUUCAUGACGUAGGAUAACUAGCUGAAGAUCAGCCGAUAACUUGCUGCAAGCAGCGAGGAUAACUAGUGCAACCUGACGACACGCACAAGGAGCCAACCACCGUCUCUAUACGGCAGCCUGAACCAAGGAUUCGCCCAACCACACUCUCAAAGAACCAACCUACGCAACCUGAACUCGAGGAUCAGGAGCACGGAUUGGGUGCUGAUGACGCGGCCGCUUCUGUAAUCUCCGCGAAGGAAAACACAAGAGCAAAGGGGUAGAGAUCACUCUCUGAAUUUGUUAGCACACAACUGAACAAAGGGGUUCUGUAUUUCAAUUAUCAAAGUCUUCGAUUACAAUGAGUCUUAGGGGGUAUUUAUACUAGCAACAGCCCUGCUAGAUAGGUAUGAAAACGAAAUAGAAUUUCUGAGGGAAGGCAAUGUGAAAGGUCCCCUCGAAAUGGAUUCCCGAAGUGACUUCGCGUGACUGUUGGCCUCCAGAGCAGUUUCCAAUAAACUGACCAUAACUUUUUAUUGGGAAGUCCAAAUGAUGAACCGUUUCUUGGGUGUGAAACUAGACUCCAAGACCUUUCCAGCAACGUAUGCCAUGCACCACAAAACGCUGUAGAUUGGUACAGUUUUACUUGGCAAGUUGUACCAACAUUCUGUCACGACAGACUGUUGACCUUCUGAGCAGUCUGUACUAAUUCUGGUCUAGAGGCAAUAUGGAGCAUCCAAACUGGUCGCCACUAGAUUUAUUGGAAAGUAGACUCGUCAAGCUUUCCAACAAGCGCUCAUGGACCUUAAUAUCUUUUGUGAGUGAAAAGUUAUGAAGAUUCUUUGCACUGGUCCGUUUUUGACUUGCACUGGUCCGUUUUUGACUUCUUCUGGAACUUGCACUGGUCCGUUCUUCAGGGUCCGAUUCAUCCUUCUCUUCUUCUAUAUACCUGAGUACAAUCAAGGUACAACACUUAGGUAGUAUAUAAUUCUCAUUAAUAUUAAAAUUAAUCUCAAAAAGUAGCGCAUUCACCUCUUGUUGUAGCUUCUUGGCUCGGCUACGUGUAAUUGCUCCAUCAAUGGCUUGGGCUGGUGCCGGCGUAGUCGGUGUAGAGGUUGGUGUGGAAUUAGAGGGAGCAUGCUUGGUUGGGAUGUCCUCAUCAUCCUCCCCCUCUUGAAAAGGAGUCGACCUCGACUCUAAUUCUUCUAAUCCGAAGAAUGGUGUCAAGUCAGCAACAUUGAAGGUUGUGCUAACACCAUAAUCUUCAGGAAGCUCAAUCUUGUAGGCAUUAUCAUUGAUCCUGGACAGCACUCUGAAUGGACCAUCUCCCCGUGGCAUCAACUUGGAUUUACGCUUGUCAGGAAAGCGGUCUUUGCGAAGAUGUACCCACACUAAAUCUCCGGGCUCAAAUAUCACCUUCUUGCGAUGCUUGUUUGCCCAAUCAGCAUAGUACUUGGACCUUCUUUCGAUUGCUUCUUUGGUCUUCUCAUGAAUCUUCUUGACAUAUGAUGCACGCUUGGAUGCUUCCAUGUUAAUCCUUUUCUGCAAUGGUAGAGGCAACAAAUCGAUCGGAGCAAGGGGUUUGAAUCCAUACACAACUUCAAAAGGACACAUAUUAGUUGUAGAAUGUACUGCCCUGUUGUAAGCGAAUUCCACAUGUGGCAAGCACUCUUCCCACUCCUUCAGGUUCUUCUUUAUCAAGGCUCGUUGCAGCAUAGAAAGUGUUCUAUUCACAACUUCAGUUUGUCCAUCCGUUUGAGGAUGACAAGUGGUGGAAAACAGCAGCCUUGUUCCAAGCUUUGCCCACAAUGUCUUCCAAAAGUAGCUCAAGAACUUGGUGUCACGGUCUGAAACAAUUGUUUUGGGCACGCCGUGUAAUCUUACAAUAUCCCUGAAAAAUAGAGAGGCUACGUGGGAAGCAUCAUCGCUUUUAUGACAAGGUAUAAAAUGUGCCAUUUUAGAGAACCUAUCAACAACAACAAAAAUUGAAUCCAUUCCCCUCUUUGUCCUAGGUAAACCCAAAACAAAAUCCACGCUAAUAUCUUCCCAAGGGGUAUUAGGAAUAGGCAAGGGAGUAUAUAAUCCAUGAGGGUUCAGUUUUGACUUAGCUUUGUGACAUGUGAUGCAUCUUUGCACAAGUCGUUGAACAUCUCUUCUCAUCUUUGGCCAGUAGAAGUGAUCAGCUAGCAUCUCAUAUGUCUUUCUCCAUCCAAAGUGACCCAUCAAUCCACCCGCAUGUGUUUCCUGUAGCAACAAAAGCCUAACAGAGCAGUGGGGUACACACAAUUUGUUAGCUCGAAACAAAAAUCCAUCAUGUAUAUGAUAUUUUUCCCACCCUUUUCCAGUUGUACAGUUUGCAAAUGGUUCUGAAAAUUCAUGAUCAGUAGGGUACAAUUCUUUUAUGCUUUCAAGUCCUGGAACCUUGACAUCUAGUAGAUUCAACAAAACAUUUUUACGUGACAAAGCAUCAGCAACAAUGUUUUCUUUACCUUUCUUAUAUUUCACAACAUAUGGAAAAGUUUCAAUGAAUUCAACCCAUUUGGCAUGUCUACGAUUCAGUUUUGCUUGCCCCUUUAAAUAUUUCAAAGCCUCAUGAUCUGAAUGAAUAACAAAUUCUUUUGGCCAUAAAUAAUGUUGCCAAGUCUCAAGAGCUCUUACCAAGGCAUACAAUUCUUUGUCAUACACCGAGUAGUUCAGUUGCGCACCUCCUAACUUUUCACUGAAGUAUGCAACCGGCUGUCCAUUUUGCAUUAGGACACCACCGAUUCCGAUCCCACUUGCAUCACAUUCAACCUCAAAGGUUUUAGUGAAAUCUGGUAACACUAGCAAGGGGGCUUCGGAUAGCCUCUUCUUCAAUUCUUGGAAUGCUCUCUCUUGUGGUUCACCCCAUUGGAAGGCAACACCUUUCUUUGUUAACUCAUUCAACGGAGCAACUAUGGUGCUGAAAUCUCUCACAAAUCUCCUGUAAAAACCAGCAAGUCCAUGAAAACUUCUCACCUGACUCACAUUUUCAGGAGUUGGCCAAUCCUUGAUUGCUUUCACCUUUGAUUCAUCAACCUGAAUUCCUGAACCUGAAACAACAAAACCAAGAAACACAACCUGAUCUGUACAAAAUGUGCACUUCUCAAGGUUAGCAAAUAAUUUUUCUUUUCUUAGCACAUCCAAAACUUGCUUAAUAUGAUCAACAUGUUCCUCCAAUGUCUUGCUGUAAAUUAGAAUAUCAUCAAAGUAAACAACAACAAACUUUCCAAUGAAUGCUCGCAAGACAUGGUUCAUUAAUCUCAUGAACGUACUAGGGGCAUUGGUCAAACCAAAAGGCAUAACUAACCAUUCAUACAGCCCAAACUUUGUUUUAAAAGCAGUUUUCCAUUCAUCUCCAAUCUUCAUUCUAAUUUGAUGGUAACCACUUCUCAAAUCAAUUUUAGAAAACAUCAUAGAACCACUCAAUUCAUCAAGCAUAUCAUCUAGCCUAGGAAUAGGAUGACGAUAACGAACGGUGAUGUUGUUUAUGGCUCUACAAUCUACACACAUCCUCCAAGAACCAUCUUUCUUUGGCACCAAAAUCACAGGAACAGCACAAGGACUUAAACUUUCUCGCACAUAUCCUUUAUCUAAAAGUUCUUGUACUUGCCUUUGAAUCUCCUUGGUUUCUUCCGGAUUGGUGCGGUACGCCGGACAGUUUGGAAGUGCAGCUCCAGGGAUGAGAUCAAUUUGAUGUUCAAUACCGCGCAAAGGAUGAAGUCCAGCAGGUGUUUCCUUUGGAAAAACAUCGACAUAGUCCUGCAAAACAUGUGCAACAACACUAGGGACAGAUGUUAAGUCAUUAGCUGAAAGCAAUGUGUCCUUGCACACAAGUACAAAUAGUACUUGAUCUGGGUUUUUCCUCACAUCUCUCAUUUCAGAUUUGGUGGCUAUCAUCACGAAGUUCUCUCCCUCUCUUUUUCUGUCAUCUCUCAUAUUUGGCUUGUGGCUCUCACUCACUGAUUUGUGGAGGGCACUCAAAUUAUUUUUCUCUCCUUCUUUUGCACUCUCAUUUCUCACUUCGGAGCUCUUUUGCAAGUGCUCAGCUAGGAUUUGCUGCGGUGUCAUGGGUUUCAGAAUCAACUCCUUGUUCUUCCACUUGAUGGUGUAUUGAUUGGUUCUACCACAAUGUAGAGAUGAUCGAUCAUAUUGCCAUGGUCUUCCCAACAGCAUGUGGCACACUGUCAUAGGCGCCACAUCGCACUCUACAGUGUCAAUAUAUUCACCAAUCUUGAAUGGAACUUUCACUCUUUGUGCAAUCUUAAUAGAACCUGAAUUAUUAAGCCAUUGCACAUGAUAUGGAUGGGGAUGUUUCAGCAGCUUCAACCCAAGCUUUUCAACCAUUUCUUUGCUUGCAAGAUUGUGGCAACUGCCACCAUCAAUGAUCACUUUGACAACCUUAUCUUGCACUUUAACUCUAGUCUGAAAAAGAUUGUGUCGCUGUCCAUUUUCAGCAUCGCUCAUUUGUACACUCAAAAUCUGAGUUACAACAAGAGCAGCACCAGAUUCAAAUUCACAGAUGUCCUUCUCAAGAUUACUCUCACUUCCACUAUCUACUUGUUCUUCCUCACUAGUAGAUUCAUACUCCCCUUGAUCAUUCACAAUGAUGGUUCUAGCGUUUGGACACUCUCUUGCAACAUGACCACGACCACCACACUUGAAGCACUGAAUUCCACUACUCUUGCUGGAAGAACCCACUGAGUUUGCUGAUUUGAAUUUCUCAUUUUGAGCAGCCAACUCUUUGCUACUAGAAGAACCAAGGUUGCUAGAUCGUGCACCACCAUUUGAGCUGGAAAAUGUACCUUUACUUCCACUUCCUUUGGGUGCAAAUUUACUUCCACUUGCUGCACUUUUUGUGUUGAAAGAUACUCCUCUAGUGGACUUCAUAUCCUGCUGCAAUUGCCGCUCAGCUUUGUUAGCUUGAUGCACUAAUUCAACAAGAUUACGAUAUUGCUGAAAUUCAACAAUGCGCUGAAUAUUCCGAUGCAGCUCUGACAUAAAUCUUGCAAUUGUUUGCUCUUCAUCUUCAAUUACAUUGGCUCUAAUCAUCGCCUUCUCCAUCUCUUUAUAAUAAUCAUCAACACUGAGGCUUCCUUGCUUCAGAUUUUGUAGCUUGUCAAAUAAAUCACGGCGAUAAUGUUUGGGGACAAAUCUUGCUCUCAGUUCUCUCUUCAUUUCAGCCCAUGAACGAACAUCACCUUGACCAGCUUCUUCUCUUUCAUUCAACAUUUGCUCCCACCAGAUUAGAGCAUACCCAUCGAACUCAAGAGCAGCCAUGGCAACCUUCUUUCUCUCAGAAUAAUUAUGCACACGAAAAAUUUUAUGCACCUUCAACUCCCAUGUAAGAUAUGCUUCAGGAUCAGAUCCUCCUUCAAACUGGGGCAUGGUGAAUUUUAACUUGCCAAACCUCUCUUCAUUGUGCUGAUUACGCCUACAAUUUCUUCGGUGACGACGAUCAUCAUAAUGGGGCUGUUCAUCCUCUUCUUCAGUAUCACUUUCUUCCAAUCCAAUACCUCUCCCAUGUCCAUGACCAGCACCUCUACCACCAUGAUCACGUCGUGGAAAAGGAGGUCUUCUUGCAUUGGCAGCAGCUCGCUCUCUACGCCGUUCCCUUGCACGACGAGCAGCUUCUCCUUCGCUUUCUUCAUCUUCAUCUUCAUGGUGACUGCCAUUUGCAUUAUCAUGAGGAUGAAUUUGCAACCGGUUCAUGAGUGCUUGAACAUUGUUUGUUAGCGUCUCCAUGCUUUGUUUCAUCUCAUCGAAUUGUGCCAUGGUGACACAAUCAUCAAUCUCCGGAUGCUCAGCCAUCUUGCUGCAAAAAAUUAGUGAAGGCAAAGCAACAAUAUAUAUAGAAUAGGGAAUUAUAUGUGGAAUCUCACAAUCUCACCACUCUUACCAACCGAAGCUCAUGUGAGUUCCCUGCAGAUUACAACGGCCAAUGCGAGGUGGUAACCGAGAAUGAUGGUUGGGAGAAUCCAAGAUCAGUAUUUUCCUAUGACGGUGGGUUAUUUGUGGAGCUUGGUGGGGAUAUAUUUCUCAAGGAAUGCAAUCUGAAUUCUUGAUAUUGUAAAGUUAAACCACAAUCCAAACUAGAAGUUCAAUGCCUAGUGCUGACCACAAGAUAUGAGUGAUGUAAAUAGAUCAAACACACGCGCAAAGAUAAUUCAGAUUUGAUGCAAACAAGGAGUAUGCCUAGGAUGCAAGUGUUGCAAUCAAACCCAAGCAAAAUUUUGCACCAAAGAUGGAUAAUGACUGAUUGUGUGACUUGAUAUAAAAUUCAGAACUUGAGCACAUAAACAGAGUGAAUUUUCUACUCUUUCUUCACAACUUUUCUUCCUCAACUCUCCUUUUUUUUCACUUUCCUUUUUUUUUGAUACUCUGUUUUUUUUAUAACUAAGAACAAGAGCAGAUAUAACACUUACACACACUUUUUUUUUUGAAACAAGACACAACCGUCAGCGUUCUAACUUGAUAGGCUCAAAGUUUACGCGAAGGAUGAUACCGGUUUCAGAUUUUCUUUAGGGAUUUGUAGAUAUAAAAGAGGCACAAAGGACACACAAAGGAUAUGAUGAUCAGCAACUAAACAAAACUCUAAUGGACUGAAACUUAACCAAACUCAUAAGAAAAACAGAUUGAAACAAAGGGCUAAUGCAAUUUUUUUAUGGCUUUUUGGUGGAUAGGACGAACAAGAUAUAUAUAUGUAGCUAAGGGUAAAAUUCCUGCCGUGGAAACUUGAGCUCUGAUACCGGAUGGUGAGGUCGUUGUCCCGAUCUUCACGACGUAGGAUAACUAGCUGAAGAUCAGCCGAUAACUUGCUGCAAGCAGCGAGGAUAACUAGUGCAACCUGACGACACGCACAAUGAGCCAACCACCGUCUCUAUACGGCAGCCUGAACCAAGGAUUCGCCCAACCACACUCUCAAAGAACCAACCUACGCAACCUGAACUCGAGGAUCAGGAGCACGGAUUGGGUUCCGAUGACGCGGCCGCUUCUGUAAUCUCCGCGAAGGAAAACACAAGAGCAAAGGGGGGUAGAGAUCACUCUCUGAAUUUGUUAGCACACAGCUGAACAAAGGGGUUCUGUAUUUCAAUUAUCAAAGUCUUCGAUUACAAUGAGUCUUAGCGGGUAUUUAUACUAGCAACAGCCCUGCUAGAUAGGUAUGAAAACGAAAUAGAAUUUCUGAGGGAAGGCAAUGUGAAAGGUCCCCUCGAAAUGGAUUCCCGAAGUGACUUCGCGUGACUGUUGGCCUCCAGAGCAGUUUCCAAUAAACUGACCAUAACUUUUUAUUGGGAAGUCCAAAUGAUGAACCAUUUCUUGGGUGUGAAACUAGACUCCAAGAGCUUUCCAGCAACGUAUGCCAUGCAUCACAAAACGCUGUAGAUUGGUACAGUUUUACUUGGCAAGUUGUACCAACAUUCUGUCACGACAGACUGUUGACCUUCUGAGCAGUCUGUACUAAUUCUGGUCUAGAGGCAAUAUGGAGCAUCCAAACUGGUCACCACUAGAUUUAUUGGAAGGUAGACUCGUCAAGCUUUCCAACAAGUGCUCAUGGACCUUAAUAUCUUUUGUGAGUGAAAAGUUAUGAAGAUUCUUUGCACUGGUCCGUUUUUGACUUGCACUGGUCCGUUUUUGACUUCUUCUGGAACUUGCACUGGUCCGUUCUUCAGGGUCCGAUUCAUCCUUCUCUUCUUCUAUAUACCUGAGUACAAUCAAGGUACAACACUUAGGUAGUAUAUAAUUCUCAUUAAUAUUAAAAUUAAUCUCACAAAGUAGCGCGUUCACCUCUUGUUGUAGCUUCUUGGCUCGGCUACGUGUAAUUGCUCCAUCAAUGGCUUGGGCUGGUGCCAGCGUAGUCGGUGUAGAGGUUGGUGUGGAAUUAGAGGGAGCAUGCUUGGUUGGGAUGUCCUCAUCAGAGAGGGUGCAACAGAAGGAUCUAUUGGAAUACGAUGGGUACAAAUCAUAGGACUGAUUCCUGUAAGAUCUUGGAGUGAGUAGCCAAACACUGAGUGAUGUUUCUCAAGAAUGGUCAUUAAUCGCAGAGUUUGAUCCUGAGUGAGUUUAUCGCUAAUGAUCACAGGGAACUCUGGAUUAUUGUUUAGGAAAGCAUAUGUAAGACCGGGUGGUAAAGUUUUAAGCUCUAUGGGGGGUCUAGGUGUUUCUGCAAACUCAUCUAAGGGUUCAGGUUCAGAAGGUUCGUCUUCUUCUUCUGUGAAGAAAGGAGUUUCGUCUUCUAAGUCUGGUUCUUCUAAAAGCUCUAGUGAUGCAGCCUUUACCUCCUCCAUAGGAUCAGGCAAAAGAUAUGAUUCGGCCUUAUUGUUUAAGGAGUGUGAAAUUGUUAUUGGGAAUUUAAAGGUUUUUCCAAGAGAAAUGUGUAGCUUUCCAGUAUGACCUUCAUAAAGGAGUCUUCUAAAAGGUUGUCCUAUCAACAGGUCGAAGUCCCAUGUAUCAAAGAUAUAGAAGUUCAAAUGAACCAUGGAGCCUUCUACCGUAAGAGGUAGGACAUUAAUAAUUCCAAGACUGGGGACUAAUUGUCCCGAAGAUUCCUUUAUGACCUUUGUUGUGGGGGUUAAGACAAGAUUUUUAAAUAGUUUAAGUGCAAAAGAUUCAGACAUGAUAUUGAUCCCCACAACAGGAUUAUAUAGAGCAUUAAAUCGAUCAGAAUUAUAAGCACAGCGUAUAGUUAUAGAGGGUGUGUCCAAACGGAUCACAUCAGAGGAAAGCUCUGAUUCCUCCAACCAUUCGCUACUCAUUACUGAGAUAAGCUCUCUCAAUUGAUAUUCACUUGGCAAAUAAAUGCUAAACUGGCCGUUUUGGGGUUUGUCAAUAGAAUGGUAGUUUGAAAUAUUUCCAAAAUCGGCAAAAAGAUCGGAUUCUAUAUCCUGCAUGAAGUCUGGUGGUGGAAUUUCUUCCUCUUGUGGCUCAGAACUUGGGAUAGCUAAAGUAGAUGAAGAAUUUGGCAGAGUGUCUACUUCGGCUUCGUAGGUUUCAUCAUGAAGGGUAUUAUCCAUCUCAGCUUCUAGGAUUCUAUCUAGGAUCACUCUAGCUUCAUCAGUAGGAAUUCGAAAGAAAGAACCUCUAGACAUUGUGUGUAGCAUUUUUUUAUGAUUUUUAUGAAGACCUCGAAAAAAGUGAAAUAAAAGAACAGGGUCUUCAAGAUUAAGGUUUGGACCAGAUUCUAAAAGAUCAGAAAAACAUUUCUAGGAUUUUCCCAAAGUUUCAUUAUCUUUUUGUUUAAAAGAUAGGACCUCGAGUCUAAGGUUGGCUAUACGGUCAAGGGAAUAGAAAUCUAGACAAAAGUUGGCUCGUAAAACUCCCCAUUCACCUUGUUGUUGACUUACAUUCUGACUGUACCAUUGUCUAGCUUCUCCCCUCAAAGAAAAAGGAAAAAGUUUCCAACGUAAAGUUUUAUCAGAAAUGCCUUCAAUGCGAAGACAAUCACAUGUUUGCUCAAAAUCUCUAAUAUGAAGGUAAGGGUUUUCGUCUUCCUUUCCCGAAAAAGAUAGGUUUUGAAUCAUGGCAAUCAACAUAGAACUUAACUUAUACUGGGAUGUUUGGAUAGGCUGUGAUGAUUCCCAUGGUAAAAGGUCAGUUGCUAAAGGGAUUGCAGAUUCAUGGAUCGAUUUAGAAUUUUGGUUUUCCAUAAGGUAAGGGUAAAGAAAAUAAAUAAAGAAUAUAAAAGAUAAGAAAAGAUAAAAGUAUAGAUACAAGCUAGUAGUAAGACUAACCAGAGUAUCGUAUUUAUUUUUUUACCACUAGGAGAAAGAGUGCAUCUGACUAACCGGUCUAUUACUACUAACCUUUUAGGCACAAAGAAUGUCUUUUGAUGUGAGUGAUAAAUAGAGAAGACUGCAACCGUAGUCUCCUUCUAACCUUGGUAAGGAUGAUCUACUGUUCUAAUGGGGAGGCUAACGGAAUCUAGACACCACAAAGGAUGUUCAACCCGCACCUAUAAACCCUAUCCUUCCUGCUAACGAGAUGUGAUCUACAAAGGUAACUCGGAAUUGUCACAUUCCUCACUACUACCACGGUCCAGCUAGUCAGGGAAUAUCUAUGAGUACCCCAGCCUAAACACCACGUUUACGCCAGCAAUGAUUACUCUAAACUCUACGCGAAGAGAUUAAAGUAAACUCAUAAACCAGAAGAACAAUAAAACAAGAACUUACUAGAAUUUAGAAGUCGAAAUACUGAAGAAUCCUAGGAGCAAGCUUCGGGUUAGGAGAACUUGAUCCCGCAGGUACAAGCUUGGAGUAGACACCGACAGGCCGGGCUUCCUCCAAUCUACACCUCCACUCUAUCUCUCUCAAUCUAGUAGAAACUAGAAGAUCUAUUUCUACCUUACAUUGAUUGCUAAGCCUAAAAAGAAAUAUUAAUUAGAGAAGAGGUUUUCCUUCGAGGGCACCCCUCAGUCUCUAUGAUAAUUUCUUCAUGUAGUCCUCCUUAUAUAGUCCUCCUCCUCUAUGCAUUUUUGGGUCGGUAGGCGAGGUGGUACUAUGUUUUUCUUGAUCCAAUAGGUCGGUGGAACAUCCCGUGCGAAGAGAGUCCUGAUUGACAUCCAGUAGGGGGCGGGCGCCCAGGUCACCAGGGCGGGCGCCCUGGGCCUGGCCCCUUUCGGCCUCCGUCUUCUUUCCGUGGCAUCUGGAGUCUUAUAGAUGGUAGAAAAUUGCACGGUGCGUUUAUAUCUCUAUGUAAUCCCGACAUGUGGGCCUUUCUUCCUUAUUUCCUGAUAACCCCCUGUAGAAAUAGAUAAACAACAAAACUCGUAGAAUUCUGUCAGAUCAAACCCUAAUUCUAGGUGUUGGUUGUAUAUUGGUCCUUUCUCUUAUUUAUUUGAUGAUUAAAAUUGAUACUUAAGAACCGUCAACAGGGACCUUUGCGGGCCGAUCACGCCGGUGACGCAUGGUGGGAGGAGAUACUUCCUCUUGCUCAUGGAUGACUGCAGCCGGUACAUGUGGCUGCAGCUCCUGACGAGCAAGAGCGAUGUGGCGAAGGCAAUCAAGCACUUUAAGGCGCGCACAGAGUAGGAGUCCGGGAAGAAGCUGAAUCGUGUUGACGCCGUUUUUGGGCGCGUGUCCAUGAUUGGUAAAGUGUAGGCCGGCAAGAUAAGACGACAGUGCUUGAUCUUCAGGGUAAGUUUGUUGACGGUCCUUAAGUAUCAAAUUUAAUUAUCAAAUAAAUAAAGAAAAGGAUCCAAAUGAAAUCAACAUCUAGACUUAGGGUUUUAUCUGACAGAAUUCCACGAGUUUUGGUGUUUGUCUAUUUCUGCAGGAGGUUAUCAGGAAAUACGGAAGAAAGACCCACACGUCGGGAUUACAUAGAGAUAUUGACGUGCCGCGCAAUUAUCUUACAUCUAGAAGACUCCAGAAGCCACGAGACCGAAGCGGAGGCGAAACGGGGCCUGACCCUGGGCGCCCGCCCACCUCCUGAGUCCAAUCAGGACUCUGCUUCGUGGGAGAUCUUCACCGACCUAAAGGAUGAAUCUAAACCAUACAAUCUAUGUCGGUUUGAUCCAAUGGCCCAUAUUCACUUGAAGGGACUAUAAAACCAGACCCCCUGGCCCCUGGAGGAGAGAGCCUCUCAACCCUAAUUCAUUGUUCUUCAAGGGAGAAGAAGCCUCUGAUCAAGAUUAGAGCCACCACCUCAAUUAGACAUCUAGAUUAGCAUAGCUACAUAGGAUUAGAACUAGAAGGAGUCAAUCUUCGAUUGGUUUCCGGAUCUGUCAAGAGGAUUCUUGGUAAUUCUCUAAUUGUGCUUCUAAUUGCUUUCUAAUUAUCUUUGUUCUUCAAUAUUAUGAAUAUGACUUUGUUCUACUUCAAUAUAUUGCUUAUGACUUUGCUCUACUUGCUUAUAUUCAAGAUUAUAUUGUUCUUAGUUUAUGAUAGUUAUAUACUUGGCUUAGUUAGAUUGGAUCUAUAUACAUGUUGAGGAUCGUAUAGCGUUUAUCCAUCGGAUCCAUGGGUAAAUGAUAGAUAUUGUGUAGGCGUGGUGCUUAUACCGUAUUUAUCUGCGAUUGUACCCAAUAUGCCAGAUCGUGGGGUAGUUCGUGAUAGUGACAGCUUCAUUGAUUCUUAUAUAGUCCCCCUCUCGUGUAUUGGGCUGGCAGAGCAACAUUAUUACAGGGGAGUGAUUGCUAUGUUUCUCAUUUACCUUGCUAAUAUCACUAUGCAUGGGCGUAGUCUUGUCUCGCAAUGAUUGCUAAGUAUGCUUGCACUAACUAUGAUAAUGCUAGACUAUAUAGUUGAGAAUAACUUAGGGAAUAUUCUUGUAGUUCGUUCUAAUACCAUGCUAAUGACUAUCUAGAAUAUCUAAUUGAGGUGCUUAUCAUAUUUAUUAUGUGGCUAGAUCAGAUUAGUUAUCUUUGUCACUAUUAUUAUUUCAUAUAUCCUUUAUGUGACACUUAUCCCUGUAUGCAAGAGUUAGAUAUAAUGUUCUCAAUUAUACAUGCAAUGAUAGAUUCUCAAUCUCAUAUUCUAUUCUGUAAUCAAUAUUGAUGAUUGUUAAUCCCUUCCCAGUGGUAAAAAUAUAAAUAACGAUACCUGGAAUACUUCUCGGUUAAAAUGCUACAUCGGUAUUAAUCUGUGCGCUUGCAGAUCCCAUUCAUUAUUUAUUUAGAAGAGCAAUUGCAUAUUUCAAUACCGCGUCUCUCAUGUCAUGCUGGGGAUGACAACUUGGCUUAAGUGGUGUGAGGGAUAGGUUUGGCAUUUUUGGCACUGUUACUAGAUUUAGAGAACUUAGUCUACUUUUGGUAAUGAUGUUAAGAAUACCCAACAAGCAUUUUUGGCGCCGUUGCCGGGGAAGGUUGAUUACUAAUCAGGAAUGAAAUAAAAGAUUUUGAGUUAUCAUUCGCAUCACUAAUAUGAUUGAGCUUAUCUAUUCUCUCAUACAGUUUUACCCCGAUAUUUUUCUAUUUUUAUCUUAUGCAGGGGAAUGUAUGAAUAGAAGACAUCGUCCAGGAAAUUUGGUUGACAAUCCCGAAGCAUUAUUCAAGAAGACGAGAGCCAAGCUCAAGAAGAGAUCAUCAACACUUCAGCCAGAAGCUUCAUCCAAUCAAGAAGAUCACCGGAACUUGUCUUCAGAGUUCGAAGCCAUGGCGAACAAAUCAAUCCGCGAGUUCUCAGCUCCCACUACGGACAACAUCCGCACUGGACCUGCUGCAGAGAUCGAUGGCAACUUUGAGCCCAAGCCUGGACUUAUCAACAUGGUGCAAUCCAACCAGUUCUGUGGGAAGGCACACGAAGAUGCUAGUGCUCAUUUACAACACUUCCUAGAGAUUUGCAACACAUUCACCAUAUCAGGAGUUUCCAAAGAUGCUAUACUACUUCGCCUCUUCCCAUUCUCACUGUUAGGAAGAGCGAAGCAGUGGUUCUACGCUACAAAGGAGAAGAAUACUACGUGGGCACUCUGCUCAACAAACUUCCUGGCUAAGUUCUUUCCCAUGGGCAAGACCAAUGCUCUCCGUGGGAAGAUUACAAGUUUUCAGCAACAAAAUGAUGAAUCUGUUCCAGAAGCAUGGGAGCGCUUUCAAGACUACAUCCUAGAAUGUCCCCAUCAUGGAAUGGAAAGUUGGCUACUAAUGCAGACAUUUUAUCAUUUGCUCAGCAACAGUGCCCGAGAGACCAUGGAUGUUGCAGCUGGAGGAGCAUUCUUAUCACUUACUAUACCACAAGCCACAACUCUUGUGGAGAAGAUGGCGUCCAACCAAAGUUGGAAUGAAGAAAGGACCCAGACACGCAAGAUAGGUGGAGGUAUGCAUCAGCUCAAGGAGAUAGACAUGCUGUCUGCUAAGCUAGACCUGCUCAUAAAGAAGCUCGACGAUAGAGCUGGAGAUAAGAAAGAAGUUAUGCACAUCUACGACUCUCACAUGACAUGUGAGGAGUGUGGAGACACUGGACACUCAGGCAACCACUGUCCUGAGAUGCUUGAGGAUCUGAACUACAUCAACAACAACAACAACCACUACUACAACCGUCCUCAACAAAAUCAAGGUUGGAAUCAACAGAGGCCUAACUACUCAGGUAAUUAUCAAGGUAACAAUUCUUACAACAAUAAUAAUAGUUUUCCACCUCUGAGAGAGUUAGUGUCUAAUCAAGGAAAGCUAAUGGAUAACCUAUCUAAGAAAUUGGCAUCAAAUGAUAAAAUGCUAGAAAAUAUAAAUAAUAGAAUGGAUAAUUUUUCUACUGCCAUCAAGAAUCUAAUUAGCUUUAAUAAAAUGAUUGAAUCUCAGUUAAAUCAAAUAUCUGCUGCUGUUCCUGCUACUAACCCCGGUAUACCAUCACAACCAUAAGGAUUAGAAUCUGCAAAUCUUGUAGACAUGUUUGAUGCAGGUAAUUGGAGUAACCCCGUCACUGAAUUCAAUACUGACCUUCUGCCGGUCAAGAGAGGCGAUCCAGGACGCCCCGUCAUCCCGAUCUCCAUCGGCAUGGUGGACGUCCUAGAAGCACUCUGCGACUUUGGCUCCAGUGUCAACAUUAUACCCAGGGUACUCUAUGAAAAAUUCUUUACAUAUCCUUUAUUAGAGACAACCAUGUGUUUGCAGUUUGCAGAUCAGACGAUAACUUUUCCAAAAGGAAUAGUGAAGAACCUUUGUGUCCGAGUUGGUACCUUAUAUGCCCAGCAGACUUUGUAGUGGUAGAGACCGGAAAUGAUGAGAGAGCACCUAUCAUCUUGGGGAGGCCAUUCUUGAACACCACGGGAGCUAUCAUCUACGCCAGUGCUGCCAAGAUCAGUUUUUACAUCAAAGGGAGGAAGGAGACAUUUUUCUUCAGGAACAAGACUACACAAAUCCCAGAUCAAUCCAGACGUGAGUCAAGGAAGAGGACCAACAGGAGGAACAGGAACAAGCAAGUGUGGACCGAGUCAGCUAAGAUGGUCACUGUAGUUCAUGGGGGCCAAGAUCAUCAGCUUAAGUCACCGUUUUUUACCAAGAAGGAUGACCCAGGAAUGCCAAGCAUCUACUGCUCCAUAAAUGGAUACAACUUCUACAAGGCAACUUGCGACACCGGAUCGGGCAUCAACAUAAUGGCCGCAGUCACCUAUCGGCUCUUGUUCGGAACCAUGCCCCUAAGACCAACAUACAUUCAGCUCCAGAUGGCAGAUCAGACAUUUCGAGAAGUUAAAGGAAUAGUAACUGAUGUCCUAGUCAAAAUAGACGAUCACUUUGUCUACACAGACUUUCAGGUUAUUGACAUGGGAGAAGACGAAUACGAUCCAUCCAUCAUCCUUGGAAGGCCGUUCCUCAGCACCGUUAAAGCAAUCAUCUACAUUGGAACCGAAGAAGUCCAUAUGCACUUCCCCUCAGAGAAGGUACGCCGUUAUUUUACUGACCCUAACUAUAUCGUUGAAGAAUCUAAGCAGGUCAGGAAACGACGCAACCGCAACCAGAGGAGGCAGAUCAUCGAGGACGGAUGGGCAGACUACGAAGGAGAAGUUGUAAGGUCAAAAGACGUAGAGUUUAAACAGAAUUAUCCAGAGGAGAUUGAAGCACCGAGUCAGGUAUGGAAAGAGAAGAUAAUUAUACAUGAAGAGGAGGCGCUGCCGGAAGUACCGCCUACGCCACCCAACGAAUCCCAAGACAAUUGAAAAAAUGGAGAGUCCCGUUCGGAGGACUUAAAAACACCGAACGCCUUGCCAAGAGGUAAACUUGGUAGUUAUCCUUUCCCUUUCAAUUAUUUUAAACAGUUUGCUUAGUUAAUCAUGUUCAUGCUAUCCUAAAAAGAAAAUAAAAAUGUUAAAAAACAGUAAGCCCCAUGUGAGUAAACGAGUGGCAUAAAACCCAUAAGUACAUUCACUGUAGUGGCAUAAAAAUAAAAUAAAUAUUUCCUUUCUACUUUAUAAAAAUGAAAAUAUAAAAACAGGGAGUAACAAUUAUUAAGGAGUCUCAACAUGAUAAAGGCUAGAUAUUUAUGCUAACACUUAAUCAAGUUCCACAAGCUUUGUUGUCUAUUUGAGCUCCACAGGAUUUAAGAAUCAAAAAGACUAGCAGACGGAGGACAUUCUAAUCGCUGUCAGAAUGCUGCUGACUUUCAAAUACACCUCUGCCACCUGCUAGCUACAUCAAGAGAAAUUAUGUUAAAAUUCAGCUUGAGGGAGAGCACCCCCAUUUAUCUCGAUAAGUAUUUCUAUCUAUCUAUCUUUAUACUUAUAUUAUUUUAGAAUAUAAAUAUACAUAACUAGGAAAAAUUAAAUAAAGAUUUUGUGCUUAUAUAUAUAUCUUUUGCUUAGUGUGUUUAAUAAAUAAAUAAAGUAGCUAUGCUAAUCUGUAUCUAAAUAAAAUUCAAACAUGGAUAUGAUGAAUAGUUGUUCUGCCUAAUUUGCAAAUUUUAAGUUCUCUCUCAAGUUUAGACAUAACUGUUAUAAUUUAAAGCUUGCUCUAGACCUAAACUUGUGGGAUGAAAACUUGAUCUAAAGUCUAAGUUGUUAACGGAUAUGAUAUGGGAAGGUUGAGCCGCUGUUUAUCUGUUCCUAGAGAUGCUAGAAUUCUAGAGAAUUUUAUCUUUGAAAAUCUUUAAAAUAUUGCAUGAUGAGUUCCUGUAUGAUGAGAGUUUAAAUUCCUACCACAGCCAUAUAUAUAUGCUUGCUAGACUUUGAGCCACACAUUUACUAUUUACUGCUUAUGAGCAUUGAGUGUGGUCAAGCUGUGUAGACCCUUAGGAGAUUGUCAUGUGGUUUAAAUCAAGAUUUCACUUGCACGUUCACUCAUAUAUGCUACUUCUACUCCGGAAGUACCAUCCACAUAUAUUCACCCAUUCCAUCUCCAGAAUCACCUAAAAAUAUUCUACUCCUAAUCCGGGAGAGAAUAGCCAAAAACAUUUUUGUUUUCCCUUGUGAAAUAAAUGCUCAAGUUAUCUUGUUAUUAACACAUGCUAUAUUAUCUCAAGAGAUGAGUGCUCUAAAAAAAGAGAAGAUACGAGGAAAUAAAAAGGAGCAAGUGCUCGGAACCUCGAAAGAAAAAGAAAAAGUGCGACGAGAGGUAAAAAUGGACAAGUGUCCGACAGUAGAAUUAGGGGUACAAGAUACCCACCUGAGAGAAAAGAAAAAGAAGAGCAUCUCAUUCUCCUCAUAAAAUUUCAGAAAGCAAGGAAGGUAUGUAUCCUCUCAAAAGAGCAAAGUAGAAUUAGACUUCCACCACUAUUGUUUUCACCAUUGUUAUCACCAUCAUCACCAUACACCAUUCAUUCGCCACACAUGCACAUCUUGAUUUGACUUAUUGAUUUGUUACUUUGGAUCCAUGGUUUGAAUAUGCAAUACAUGUCUUGUAAGUAUGUAUACUUUAUCUCCCACCUAUGAGCUCCAGAUAUUAAAGCCUUAUUAGAGUAGGGUGAGGGAGAAGGCAAUGUCACUAUGCCUUAUACCACAAAUACUACAUAUAUUGAGAGAAGGCAUAUACCAUCACUGCCUUGGUAAGGAUCCAGAAAUACCACAAAAGAGAGAUAUGAGAGAGUCAUACAAGGAAUUCUGAGUUUUAUUUGAAAAUCUGCAAAAACCCCAGAGCUAUAGCUGAAUCAAGAAUAAGAGACAUGGCACUUGACUAGACUGUUCUAUCUUUUAACCACUCAAGACAGAAGUGACAGUUACAAGUCCCAUGGUGGAAGGUAAAGUAAGUUUUAAGUCUUGACAGAUUACUCUAACUCAGAGAUAAGAUCUUAUUUAAAAAGCAUGUGUACCGUCAAUUUUUAAAAAUAUUGCAACAACUUAUGAUCCAUAGCUGAGUCUAUCCUUGCUCAGGGACGAGCAAGAGGUAAGCUUGGGGGAGUUUGUUGACGGUCCUUAAGUAUCAAAUUUAAUUAUCAAAUAAAUAAAGAAAAGGAUCCAAAUGAAAUCAACAUCUAGACUUAGGGUUUUAUCUGACAGAAUUCCACGAGUUUUGGUGUUUGUCUAUUUCUGCAGGGGGUUAUCAGGAAAUACGGAAGAAAGGCCCACACGUCGGGAUUACAUAGAGAUAUUAACGUGCCGCGCAAUUAUCUUACAUCUAGAAGACUCCAGAAGCAACGAGACCAAAGCGGAGGCGAAACGGGGCCUAACCCUAGGCGCCCGCCCAGGUGGUCAGGCCGCCCGCCCACCUCCUGAGUCCAAUCAGGACUCUGCUUCGUGGGAGAUCUCCCCCGACCUAAAUGAUGAAUCUAAACCAUACAAUCUAUGUCAGUUUGAUCCAAUGGACCAUAUUCACUUGAAGGGACUAUAAAACCAGACCCCCUGGCCCCUGGAGGAGAGAGCCUCUCAACCCUAAUUCAUUGUUCUUCAAGGGAGAAGAAGCCUCUGAUCAAGAUUAGAGCCACCACAUCAAUUAGACAUCUAGAUUAGCAUAGCUACAUAGGAUUAGAACUAGAAGGAGUCAAUCUUCGAUUGGUUUCCGGAUCUGUCAAGAGGAUUCUUGGUAAUUCUAUAAUUGUGCUUCUAAUUGCUUUCUAAUUAUCUUUGUUCUUCAAUAUUAUGAAUAUGACUUUGUUCUACUUCAAUAUAUUGCUUAUGACUUUGCUCUACUUGCUUAUAUUCAAGAUUAUAUUGUUCUUAGUUUAUCAUAGUUAUAUACUUGUCUUAGUUAGAUUGGAUCUAUAUACAUGUUUAGGAUCGUAUAGCGUUUAUCCAUCGGAUCCAUGGGUAAAUGAUAGAUAUUAUGUAGGCGUGGUGCUUAUACCGUAUUUAUCUGCGAUUGUACCCAAUAUGCCAGAUCGUGGGGUAGUUCGUGAUAGUGACAGCUUCAUUGAUUCUUAUAUAGUCCCCCUCUCGUGUAUUGGGCUGGCAGAGCAACAUUAUUACAGGGGAGUGAUUGCUAUGUUUCUCAUUUACCUUGCUAAUAUCACUAUGCAUGGGCGUAGUCUUGUCUCGCAAUGAUUGCUAAGUAUGCUUGCACUAACUAUGAUAAUGCUAGACUAUAUAGUUGAGAAUAACUUAGGGAAUAUUCUUGUAGUUCGUUCUAAUACCAUGCUAAUGACUUUCUAGAAUAUCUAAUUGAGGUGCUUAUCAUAUUUAUUAUGUGGCUAGAUUAGAUUAGUUAUCCUUGUCACUAUUAUUAUUUCAUAUAUCCUUUAUGUGACACUUAUCCCUGUAUGCAAGAGUUAGAUAUAAUGUUCUCAAUUAUACAUGCAAUGAUAGAUGCUCAAUCUCAUAUUCUAUUCUGUAAUCAAUAUUGAUGAUUGUUAAUCCCUUCCCAGUGGUAAAAAUAUAAAUAACGAUACCUGGAAUACUUCCCGGUUAAAAUGCUACAUCGGUAUUAAUCUGUGCGCUUGCAGAUCCCAUUCAUUAUUUAUUUAGAAGAGCAAUUGCAUAUUUCAAUACCGCGUCUCUCAUGUCAUGCUGAGGAUGACAACUUGGCUUAAGUGGUGUGAGGGAUAGGUUUGGCAUUUUUGGCACCGUUACUAGAUUUAGAACUUAGUCUACUUUUGGUAAUGAUGUUAAGAAUACCCAACAAAGUUGCCGAUGAGGAUGGUUGCCGAUGGGGGGAUGGCUGAACGUGACCAAGUCCAUAGGUAAUGAUGUGUUUGUGCCGAUGACUACCACAAGGCAGUCUGCCGAUGAUGCGGGGGAAGAGUUUGGAAGUUGCCGAUCGGCUUGAGGAGGUGUUCCAGUUUGUCACGCGGGGAUAGUUUUAUGUUUUCCUUAGUUAUUUAAAUCGUUUUGUAUACGGAUUCUGUUUAAUUUGGAAUUCGAGUUCUAGUCGUGUCUGGUUGUAGCUCUUUGGGUAGGGUAUAAAUGUGAACCCUAGGGCCUUGUAACAAUGAAUCAAUCAAUCAAACAUCAGUUUUUACUCAUAUUCCAGCAUCUACUAUUUCGACGACUUCGUCAUACUUUUUUUCUUUUUAUUACGAGUUCUUAGGAAUUCGUCGACUUAAGCUCGGCGUGUUCUCAAGUUCCGCGUGAAUACCUCUUGGCCGUGGCAUCCGGGCGCAUCGCUGUUGUCGGGACCAAAGUAUUCGAGUUACCACCUUUGCCGAUAGUAAGGUUAAAUCGGCUGGCACGCCUUAACGUUUAAAUCGGGUAUUAGCCUUUUGUGUUUGCAGAUCAGCUUUUGCAUCAACACAUCUUUUGGCACGCCCGGUGGGACAGAUCCAAGAUCAAGAUCAACAUGUCGACUUCUGAGUUUGAUCAGGAGAACGUCAUCCCCGUGACGGAAGCCAAUCUCAAGGAUGAGCAGAAGCAAGCUAUUGCUAAAGCCAUGGAGGAUUACAAGCAGCAAUGCCUGUGUUGACACCGUUUUUGGACACGUGUCUAGGAUGACAGGAUAAGGUGGCAGUACGAUGCGGGUUGCCGAUGGGGAUGGUUGCCGAUGAGGGAGAAGUUGAGUGUGACUAAGUCCACAGGCAGUAGUAUGGUGCCGAUGACCAGGUAAAAGGGUCUGCCGAUGACCAUGGCGAGGGGAUUGCCGAUGACGCGAAGGAGGAGUCCGGAAGCUGCCAGUUGUCAUGUGGAGGAGUUUCAGUUUGUUACGAAGGGUAGUUUUAUUGUUUCCUUAGUUAUUUGCAUCGUUUUGUAUAUGGAUUCCGUGUAAUUUGGAAUUCGAAUUCUAAUCGUGUCUGGUCGUAGCUCUUUGAGCAGGGUAUAAAUAUAAACCCUAGGACCUUGUAAUCUAUCUAUCAAUCAAUCAAACAUACGUUUUUACUCAUAUUCCAGCAUCUACUUUUCGACGACUUCGUCAUACUUUUUUCUUUUUAUUACGAGUUCUUAGGAAUUUGUCGACUUAAGCUCGACGUGUUCUUGAGUUCCGCGUGAGUACCUCUUAGCCGUGACAUCCGGGCGCAUCGCUGUUGUCAGGACUAAAGUAUUCGAGUUAUCACCUUUGCCGAUAGUAAGGUCAAAUCGGCUGGCACGCCUUAACGUUUGAAUCGGGUAUUAGCCCUUUGUGUUUGCAGAUCCGUUUUGCAUCAACACAUCUUUUGGCACGCCCAGUGGGACCAGAUUCAAGAUCAAGAUCAACAUGUCGAUCUCUGACCUCGAUCAAGACAACGUCAUCCCCGUGACGGAAGCCAACCUCAAGGAUGAGCAGAAGCAAGCUAUUGCCCAAGCCAUGGAAGAGUUCAAGCAGCAAUGCCUGAAGUCUUUCAGCAUAAACAGGAGCGGCGAAGUGGUCCAGAAAGAUGCACUGCCGGCACCACGGCAGGUCACCUUCGACGCCAAUCCUGGCAAGCUUCAAGAUAUGGUUGACAAUGCCAUCAAUCGAGCGUUGAUUAACCAAGCUGGUGUACUGUCUAAUACGGUUUUCAACGCCGUGGCAAGAACCUUCAAGGAAGGACAAAUCCCGCCGAAUUAUGUGGGUCCUUCCCAUCAUCAACCCACGGCACCAGAAGUCACGGCUCCAUCGGCUGCCUUGACGGGUGCAAGUGCACAGUCUGUCGUCCCUCCAAGUACAUUGGGAACUACUGGUGCACCAUCUAUGCCGAUGGCAACUAACCCACAAAUUUCAGUUGGGCAGCAUAAACUGACAACAGAUAUGUUGGCAUCGGCAAUGUCAGGGUUGACUCUCCCUCCCAACUGGUGGGGUUAUGGUAUGCCUCCAGAGUUGACGCCGGGAACAUCGCAAAUAACUGACGUGAGGGGCAAAACUCCUAUGACAUCGGUACCUCCCAAUGUGCCGAUGAAUCAGAGUCCUCGGUAUACCACAACUACUACUGCAAGGCCUCACACUGGGAAUCCUCAAGAUUCAAUGUUUCAGAUGCCUAACACAUCAGCAGAGUUAAUGCUGACGCAACAGAGGCCUAUGGCCCAGUCGGGGUAUGUCAGUUCAACGACGGUACCCAAUUACCAAUCAUCGGCAGCACCUAUGCCGAUGAACGCUAACAAUGGAUGGCUUGGACAGCAAGCCUUUCCACAAUCGCCCCAGCAGGGUUAUCAGACUACAGGGUUCCAGCAAGGGCAGGUCUAUCCCGGGUUCCAAGGUCAGGGAAUUCCCAACCAGCCAAUAAAUUUUGGACAGCCAAUCGGUGGACAGCAGUUUGGUAGUCCGCAGAUUGGAGGACAGGUGACCAAUACGAUGUUCCAUACAGGUCACGUCCCAAACAGACACGUGGAGGCUCGCCACCAAAUGCCAGAUCCGCAGCCGCCUCAUCGGCAAGACGCCGAUGCGUAUUGGGCCGAUAAGAUUGCUGAAGUAAUGAGGGAACAAUUUGGGAUAAAACCCAAAGUCAACACCUAUUCUUAUCGGACACCGUAUCCUCCAGCGUAUGAUUUGAUCCCGCUUCCACAUCGGUACAAGGUACCGGACUUUACAAAGUUUUCCGGACAAGACGACACGUCAACCAUGGAACAUGUCAACAGGUUCAUUAUUCAAUGUGGAGAGGCUGGUAACAGGGACGAAUUAAGGGUUCGUCUAUUUUCGUCAUCACUGUCUGGAUCGGCCUUUACUUGGUUCAUAUCAUUACCUCCCAACUCAGUAAUUACUUGGGCCGAUCUAGAGAAGCAAUUCCACAGAUACUUCUUCUCGGGGGUUCAUGAGAAGAAAAUUACCGACUUGGUCAAGUUGAGACAACGUAAUGAUGAGUCGGUUGAGGGAUUCGUGCAGAGGAUACGAGAAGUCAAGAAUAAAUGCUAUAGCCUGGUUCUGGAUGAUCGGCAGCUAGCCGAUUUGGCUUUCCAGGGUUUGUUGCCACAUAUCAGGGAUAAGUAUGCAUCUCAGGAGUUCGAAAGUUUAAGUCAUUUGGUGCAGAGGAUAUCUGAUCAAGACAUCAAGCCUUUCAAGCCUAAGAGGGCAUGGAAUAAGAAAGUGUCAUUUGUUGACGAAGCAACAAGCUCAGAUUCCGACGAGGAACCAGUAAUCGGUUUGGCAGAGUGGGUAAAAAACAAGAAACCAAUGUCUUGUCCUUUUGGGCAAAAGGAACCAGAGAAGUUCGCCUUUGACACCGCCAAGGCCGAUAGGAUAUUUGACUUUCUACUUCAGGAAGGUCAAAUCAAACUGUCACCUAACCAUGUGAUCCCAUCGGUAGAAGAGUUGAAGAGGAUGAGAUAUUGCAAGUGGCAUAAUGCAACUUCCCAUGACACCAACGAGUGCAAAGUAUUCAGACAGCAGCUGCAAUCGGCUAUAGAGUCAGGGAGAAUCAAGUUUGACAGUUCCAAAGCCCAGAAGCCGAUGAAGAUAGACCAACAUCCUUUCCCGACAAACAUGUUGGAUGCUAAGGGGAAGGCUAAGGUCCUAACAUCGGAGACAGCUGAGAAGAGUGCAUCGGUAGAUCCUCAGCAUCAAGUUACUACUGCCGAUGCAAGAAGUAAGGGCUUGGUCCAGGAAGGAACUAGCUCAGGAAGGCCUCCUCGAUCUGGUAUCGUCAUAACUCAUAGAAGGCCUCGAGAAACAUGGCAACAACGGGAAGAUCGGUAUCGGCGCCAGCAGGAAGAUUAUCGACGGGAAGAAGAAAGGCGCCGACAGGAGUGGAAUCGGCACAGGGAUCAUUGGAAUUGUCCAUUCUUCAUUCAUUGUUGGGAGGAAAAUAUCAAGCUUCCUACUGUCAGAGACUGCCCUGAGUGCAACGGUUAUGAUCGGUACGAUAGAACCGAUCGGCGUUAUCAUGAUGAUGAAAGGCGAUUUAAUGGGCCGAUCAGAGGAAGGGUGUCAGUUCAUGACCGGCUGGGGGGCAGAUUUAGAGGGCACAACAGACUUAGUGACCGUGUCCAGUAUUUUCCCAGGAACCGAGAAGAGCUCGAGGAAAUGGCUGAUGCGCGGGUUCCCGAUGAAUUCAUAUUUUGCAGGGAUGCUAACAUGCAUCGGGUGGAGCCAAGGGAGAACCGACGCCCGACGGAAAGGCAAAGGCCACUUCCUCCAUGGUGCCCUGGAGGAUUAACUAAGACACAGAAAAGGAGAUUGCAACGUGAGAGGCAAGAAGAGCUAAACAAGGGAGAGAACUCUGGAAGUCGGCAGCCGUCAGGCAAUAAGAGGGAAGGUCCAUCGGCAGAUGUCAACAUGGUUUUCAUGUUGCCGAUGGAGUUUCUUGCACCAUCCAGCGACGAUGAGUUGGAAUUUUCUAAUCAGAUAGCUCAGUUGGCUCUGGAUCCGAUGACGGCUAUCUUUGAGAAACCUGCCGAUGACGAGAGGCAGCAUCUCAAAGCUUUGUUCCUCAAAGGGAGGGUUGAUGGGCAGCCAAUGACCAAGAUCCUAGUUGAUGGUGGAGCUGCUAUUAAUAUUAUGCCGUAUGCAGUAUAUCGGAAGCUUGGGAAAGGGGAUCAAGAUUUGACCAAGACCGAUAUGAUGCUCAAAGACUUUGAAGGAAACGUGUCUCCAGUCAAGGGGGCGAUAUGCGCAGAGUUGACCAUCGGCAGCAAAACCUUGCCGACAACUUUUUUCGUGAUCAGCGGAAAAGGUGCUUACAACUUGUUAUUGGGACGAGAUUGGAUUCAUGCCAAUUGUUGCAUCCCAUCUACAAUGCAUCAGUGCUUGGUUCAGUGGGUAGGUGACAAGAUUGAGAUUGUCCCAGGAGAUUCUUCUUAUGUUAUCGCAUCGGCAGAGGCGGAUACUUACGAAAGGACUAGGUGCAUUUCAGGAGAAGUUUGGGAGAAGGACUUUCUCAAAGUUGCCGAUUAUGAGAUUCCACCGAUCCAAGCAGUCGGUUCUGACGACGGUUUUUAAUGGAUAGAUUCGCCGAUGAUGGAAAAUUAGGCCAGGGAUUCACAUCGGCCGAUGAUUUGGUAGAGGUAGAUAUAGGUGGUGGUGAUAAGCCUAGGCCUACUUUUAUUAGUGCUAAAUUAGAUCCUGAGUGUAAACGGCAGUUAACUAGUUUGUUAAAGGAAUAUAAAGAUUGCUUUGCUUGGGAUUAUACGGAGAUGCCUGGUUUAGACCGAUCAAUUGUUGAACAUCGGUUACCCAUCAAGUCUGGAUUUCGGCCACAUCAGCAACCAGCCCGUCGAUGUAAUCCUAACAUUCUACCUGAUAUUAAGGCCGAAGUCACUAAACUUAUUGAAGCUAAGUUUAUUCGGCAGUGUCGGUAUGCCGAAUGGAUUUCCAAUGUUGUUCCGGUUUACAAGAAGAAUGGGAAGCUUCGGGUGUGCAUUGACUUCAGGAAUCUCAAUAAAGCUACGCCGAUGGAUGGAUACCCAAUGCCUGUCGCCGAUCUACUGGUUGAUGCUGCGGCUGGCCAUCGGGUCAUCAGCUUCAUGGAUGGUAAUGCAGGUUACAAUCAAAUAUUCAUGGCAGAGGAGGAUAUUCCAAAAACCGCAUUCAGGUGUCCUGGUCAUGUUGGACUAUUUGAAUGGAUAGUCAUGACUUUUGGGUUAAAGAAUGCUGGGGCUACUUAUCAAAGGGCUAUGAAUUUUAUAUUUCAUGAGUUCAUCGGCAAGCUCGUAGAGAUUUAUAUUGAUGAUGUGGUGGUUAAGUCUGGAGAUUUCUCAAAGCAUCUUGCCGAUUUACAAAAAGUGUUAGAGUGCACAAGGAAGCAUGGAUUGAAGAUGAAUCCCAACAAGUGUGCAUUUGGUGUAUCGGCAGGGCAGUUUCUUGGUUUCAUGGUACAUCAGAGGGGUAUUGAAAUUAGUCGAAGAUCUAUUGAUGCCAUCAAUAAAAUAGUGGCCCCUACCAACAAAACCGAGCUCCAAUCCUUGAUCGGCAAGGUAAAUUUUAUCAGGAGAUUUAUAUCGAAUUUGUCUGGUAGGAUUCGUGCUUUCAGUCCUCUUCUUAAAUUGAAAGCCGAUCAAGAGUUUAUUUGGGGAGAAGAACAGCAGUUGGCUCUGGAUGAAAUCAAGAAGUAUUUAGUAAAUCCUCCAGUUCUAGUUCCACCUCAACAAGGGAAGCCCUUCAGAUUGUAUUUAUCUACCGAUGGAUCGGUUAUCGGUUCAGCUUUAGUUCAAGAAUUUGAAGGGAAAGAAAGGGUAAUUUAUUAUUUGAGUAGGAGGUUGAUCGAUGCUGAAACCAGAUAUUCGGCCAUUGAGAAACUAUGCUUGUGCUUAUAUUUUUCAUGCAUCAAGCUGAGACAUUACCUGUUAUCGGCCGAAUGUAUUGUUGUCUGUAAAGAUGACGUAGUCCGGUACAUGCUAUCUAUGCCGAUUAUGAGUGGUAGGAUCGGUAAAUGGAUUUUAGCGCUGUCGGAGUUCGAUUUGCGUUACGAAUCGGCUAAGGCAGUCAAAGGGCAGAUCAUGGCCGAUUUUGUGACUCGGCAUUGCGGUCUAGUGGAAACCUUGGAAAUUGCACCCUGGACACUCUUCUUUGAUGGAUCUACCUGUGACCGGGGGGCAGGAAUCGGCAUUGUAUUGGUUUCUCCUAAGGGGAGGAAGUAUGAAUUUUCCUUGCCGAUUGUUGCUACAUCAACAAAUAAUCAGGCUGAGUAUCAAGCUCUGAUCAAGGGAUUGGAGUUGUUAAGAGAGGUUCGUGCUGAUGCUGUUGAGAUAUUCGGGGAUUCCAUGUUGGUUAUAAAUCAAUUGGCCGGAAGCUAUGAAUGCCGGAGUGAAGUUCUCAUAACUUAUUUCGAGAGAAGUAUGCAACUGUUAAAGGAAUUCAAGAACUUCCGAUUGGAGCAUGUUCCCCGAUUGCAUAAUGAAGACGCUAAUCGGUUAGCCCAGCAUGCCUCAGGAUAUCAGCCAAUGAUUAAUGCGACAUCAGCAGUCAGUGCCGGUGAUUGGAGGAAAGAAAUUAUUGACUAUCUAGAAGAUCCGUCCAAAAAGGUUGAGAGACGGGUUCGAUUUCAAGCAACUAAGUAUGUGCUCCUCGAAGAUGAAUUGUAUUAUCGAACUAUUGAUGGAAUUCUUCUCCGAUGUUUGGGUGAUGAUGAAGCUAGGAGUUUGAUGGGAGAAAUCCAUGAAGGGGUGUGUGGAGCACAUCAGUCGGCUUUCAAAAUGAAAUGGAUGAUUAGAAGGAAUGGAUAUUUUUGGCCAACUAUACUUGAGGAUUGCUUUAAGUAUUUCAAGGGAUGCCAAGGUUGUCAAAAGUUUGGUAACAUUCAAAGAGCGCCCGCAUCGGCUAUGAAUCCUAUUAUCAAGCCUUGGCCGUUUCGGGGUUGGGCUGUUGAUCUGAUCGGCCAGAUUUAUCCACCAUCUAGCAAAGGGCAUAAGUUCAUUCUAGUUGCCACUGACUAUUUCACUAAGUGGGUUGAAGCUAUUCCUUUGAAGAAAGUCACAUCGGCCAAUAUGAUUGAUUUUGUGAAGGAGCAUAUUAUUUACCGAUUUGGAAUUCCCCAAACGAUUACUACCGAUCAGGGCACCAUGUUCACGUCGGGGGAGUUCGAUGAGUUCGCAAUCGGUAUGGGAAUUAAAGUAUUGAAUUCUUCUCCUUACUAUGCUCAAGCCAAUGGGCAGGCCGAAGCGUCUAACAAAGGGAUUAUCAAGCUUAUUAAACGAAGGAUUGAAGAAAAUCCUAGGCGGUGGCAUGCAUUGUUAAAUGAAGCAUUGUGGUCUUAUCGGAUGGCUUGUCAUGGAUCAACCAAGGUGUCACCCUAUCAAUUGGUGUAUGGACAUGAUGAAGUUUUGCCUUGGGAGAUUAAGGCUGGAUCUAGGCGAUUAUAUUUUCAAGAUCAAUUGGCUGCCGAUGAUUAUGCCACUUUGAUGACCGAUGAGUUAGAUGAUUUAGCAGGGCAUCGGUUAAAAGCUUUAAUGAGUAUAGAAGAAAAUAAGAAGAGAGUUGCUAGAUGGUAUGAUAAAAAAGUAAAGGCUAAGGAGUUUGCCGAUGGGGAUUUGGUAUGGAAAUUGGUCUUGCCAGUUGGGACUAAGAGUUCGAAGUUUGGAAAGUGGUCUCCUAAUUGGGAAGGUCCUUAUCGGAUAAGACACUCAGCUCCUGGUAAUGCCUAUAUUCUAGAAACUCUCGAAAGAGUUGAAUUCCCCAGAGCAUUAAAUGGCAAAUAUUUAAAGAAGUACUUCCCCAGCAUAUGGGUCGAUGCGUAAAAGUUUAAGUGCCGAUAACACUCCUAUCGGCUGGAGUUAAAUGUUUGGAGACAGACUUAAUGUUUCAAAAGAUGCCGAUAACAGUCUUAUCGGCUAGACUAAAAGCUAAAAGCGGGAAAACAAAGGUGUGUUGCCGAUGAAAGCUUCAGAUGUUCAGCAGCUCUUGGAUUGUCGAUAUGGCGCGCAGCCGGAUCUGAUUGGCUGUCUCUAUCUCCUUGAUAUCAUCAUCGGCAGAACCUUCUAUCGGCUUCAGCUUCCUCUUCAACUGCAGCGCUUUGCGACCAUGGACGUUUCGUUCUCGUUCAAGGUGCUUGAUGGUCUCCGGCAGUUGACUCUCUUCUUGCUGGGCUUGGGACAGAGCAUCCUCUACUUGCUUGAGUUCGGCCAGUAGAGCUUCUCUUUUUGCCGAUAGAUCAGAUACUUUCUGCUUCAGAACAUCACCUGAGGACUUUAAGGUGCCGAUGUUCUUAUGUUUCUCAUCGGCUAAGAGUUUUUCUUUCAUCAUCUCCUCAGAAAGCUGGAUUUGAGCUGCUCUAUCGGCAAGGCGUCGAGUGGCUCUCUGGUACUGUAGCUGGCGGCUUUCUAGGUGUGCAGCAUGGAAGAGGGUUUCUUCAGCAUCGGCAGGAACUUGGCCUCUAAGGGUUUUGAACAGGGCCUUGGCUGGGUCAGAAUCGUUGACCAGUUGAGAUGUGUCUUGAUGAAGUAUGGCCGAUAGCUCCUCCAGCUUAGCCCUGGUUUCUGCCGAUACAGUCCCAAUUGCCCGAGAGGAGCUUGCUUCCUCACCCUCUUCUUCGAGAAUAUCAAUGGCGAAGGAGAAUAAGCUAUCGGGAGAAUCUUGUUCCUGAAAAUGAGAAUGAAAUAAGUCAUUUUUAUGGUCAAAGCUUCGGCAGACAAUGUUGAUGAAAAAAUUGGAUGACUUACUUGCUUCAAGGCGAUCUCUUGUCUUUGACUGAAAAGUGCUGAUGGAGCUGCAGGCUGAUCGGCCAAAGAUGCCGAUGGAGCUACAGAUUGAUCGACCGAGAUUGCCGAUGGAACGAUAUCGACUGAAAAAAGACAAAAGGAGUUAUAAGGCUAAAUAAGAAUAAGUUCAUCGGUAGCGAUAUUGUUAAAGUAUGUUACCUGAAGGAGGGACAACGGUUGUCUGAAUCGGGAGAACUGCCGAUGGUAUAACUGGAUCCACCGGGCCAGUUGUUUGUUCCCCUAUGCUAGCUGAUGUAUCUUCUGUCUGAGACCCUGUCUGCUGGGGUUCUUCUAUCUGUGGUGCUUCCUGCAUAGGUGGGGGAGAUGGUGCUUGCUGUGGCUGGGCUUCUGGAGAAGAAGGAGAAGACUCCACCGGAAUUGGAGAUACCGGAGGAGGAGGGGGAGUUGCUACCUUCUGGCGCUUUGUUCCAGUCUUAGCGCCCGUGGUGCCCUUUCUCUUUGGUUGGCUAGACUGGGGGGCAUCGGUGCUCUCAUGCCUGGAUUUCGCCGAUAUGCCGGUUUGCUGCAAUAAUAAACAAGAGUUUAUAAGCGUAAAUGUAGCCAAUAUAAAGAUAGUCGGCAUAAAGGAAAAGAUUUGACAAAUUGCCUUGAAAGCCCGCGCCAGGGUGGGAGCAGCUACCGUUGGUGAUGUCUGAGCUCUUCUGGUAGUGACUUUCCUGAGGCAUACGCCCCGAUGCACGAUGGAAGCUAGAGUGGGAGCGUUGUGGCCGAUUGAGGAAAUCGGGCCUGAUGGAAACAAGUCAAUCGGCCUGCCACUCUUGCUAACCAAUGGAGGAAUACUGUCAACCUGCAAAAGGAAUACAAGGGUAAGCUGCCGAUAGAAGUGACAUUGAGAAAAUGAAACAUCGGUUUGAGUUACUUACAGUGUCAUCGGGAACUUCGUAUUCGGUGUCAAUCAUGCCGCGGUAUGAAAGCGCCGAUCUGCAGAAUAGAUGCUCUUUCCAUUCUGCCCACCACGGCUUGUAUGCCUGAGUGAUAAAAGCAGCCGGAACCCAUUCUGACAGAUCUACAUCCGUAUCGGCAUUUGGUGGUAAUUGGGCUACUCGAGUCCACUCAAGAAGGUUGUUGAUAGUUUCUCUGGGUUUUAUCACAUCGGCAUAAGGAAGUGCAAUCGGCAACUGGCCGAAAGCUAAUUGGCGAGCUAAUGCCGAUGGAUUAUAAAAUUCGUAGGUUUGGGGAGAAGUUUUUGUGCUACCAAAGAAAUUCACCGGAAUGGCCCUGGGAGUCACAAUUGCCAUCAUCGCCUCAUUGUCCCUGUCGAGAGCUUCAUCAAAUGGAUUGAAGGUCAGAGGGAGCAUGCUAUCUGGGUCAUCAUAAGCCAACCAUGGUCGUUCAUCUCUGGCCAAACCCUCAUACAGCGUCUCGAAGAAUCGGCCGAUCUGAUCCGGAGUGUUCCCUGAACCGGGUAAGACUAUAACAGCUUCGCCAAAGUUCAGGGGGGCACGUGUUGCCGAUUCCUCUUCACCCAACACGUAGUUCUCGGCUAUAUCUCUUGGGAAGUGCUGUGAGAACAAGUUGAGAUCAAGGCGCUUGUGCAGGUGCAGAUUGAGCCACAUAUUAAUAAACCACCAAGGACCUCCCAAGUUGCCGAUAGGUUGGCCGAGCAGGAGUUUCUGGACUACCUGAUGAAGAAGGUGAUAAACAGCGCCGAGCAAAUAACGGCCGAGAGGAAAUUGACCACCGCUAGCCAGUCUUUCUGCUGCCGAUAGAUAGACAGAAGUCGGUCCUGCCGAUCGACCACAGAAUACAAACUUGUCUAGCCACAUGUUCAGAAAGGUGGUUUGCUCCUUUAUGGUGACAGGUCCUCUCCCGCGGUACUUCUGGAUGUACCCUGACCAACCGCCGAUAGCGCGAGUCUCCACUUUGGCACUGGGGGCGGUAUCAAAAAAGUGGGUGCUAUCGGCAGAAGAUAUAUCUAACCCAGUAAGCAUGGCUACAUCGGCAAGGGUAGGAGAAGCAGGGCCGUGGCCAAAAACAAAAGCGUUGAGAGUGUCUGACCAAAAGUAAGAUGCAGCUAUCAGCAAUGACUCGUUCCUGUGCAUAUCGGCAAUGGACAGCCUAAUGCAUUGGGCUAAUUUCCUCUCACCCCAUUGAACUUCAUAAGAGUUGCUGACCCUCAAGAACCAGUCUUUCCACCCUACAGUAGGGCUGGGCCAAGAGCGAAAGGUGUCCUUCCAUAGAUCUAAAGCAAAGUUUUCAGCUCUAAAGGGAAUCCUGUUGGUUUCUGCAUUGAUAAGGUCGGUUGGAUCUGGAUCCCCUAGAGGGCCGAGGCAUUGAAGAUGUGGUUGAUCGGUAGGAAUGACAAUUUUGUUGGAUAACUCCUAGUGUUUUGGGGAAUAAAGAUACAAAGAAAAAGGAAAAGGGAAAUAUUCGGUAAGAUGAAUCGCAGAUGAACAGGAAUGCAAGAAAAGGGUACAGCAGAUGAGAUGGAAAUCUGACCUCAGGGACGACGAAGCCAACGGCCAUCUUGUCGUGAAGAGGACGCUGGAGGGCGCCGGAGUUGAUGAAGAGGAAUGCUUGUCGGAGAUUUUGAGGGUUGUGAAUGGCGCCGCCGCUGGAAAAGCGAAGUUGGAUGGCAGAAUGGUGUAAUGGGGGAGGAGUACCCAAGAAGGAACUAUUUAUAGGACAAAAUGGGCAAGGGCAAAUCUGACUUAUUUCUUUGCCACAUCCGAGAAACCCGAGGGUACUCAAGUGGAUAUGGUAACUGUUCGCGCGGUAAUCCAGGGAUUGUGCAGGUGAUUUGACAGGAAGCGGUCAUUAUCUAAAGAUAUUUUACUGUACGCGAUCUCCUGGUCGGUCCAUCGGCGAUAUUCUAUAACGGUCAUCCUGCCGAUGGGCGGAUAGAGGGGAGGUAACCGUUUUUGCGAAUCUCCUGGGCAGAGCAUCGGCAGAUAUUUGUAACGGUAUUGUUGCCGAUAUACGAAUAAGAAAGAUGCCCGUUUAGGAAGUUGGGGAUUUCGAGGAAUCUGCGGAGGAUUAGGAUCAGAGUUGUCCAGAUUGAGGUUGUCGGUUACCAGAUUAGGAGCAUUAAUUGCGGAGAAGGCAUCAUUACUGCAGAGAAUUUCGGAGCAUUAAUAGUUUUAUACUCCGAAACUGGGGGGCAUGUGUUGACACCGUUUUUGGACACGUGUCUAGGAUGACAGGAUAAGGUGGCAGUACGAUGCGGGUUGCCGAUGGGGAUGGUUGCCGAUGAGGGAGAAGUUGAGUGUGACUAAGUCCACAGGCAGUAGUAUGGUGCCGAUGACCAGGUAAAAGGGUCUGCCGAUGACCAUGGCGAGGGGAUUGCCGAUGACGCGAAGGAGGAGUCCGGAAGCUGCCAGUUGUCAUGUGGAGGAGUUUCAGUUUGUUACGAAGGGUAGUUUUAUUGUUUCCUUAGUUAUUUGCAUCAUUUUGUAUAUGGAUUCCGUGUAAUUUGGAAUUCGAAUUCUAAUCGUGUCUGGUCGUAGCUCUUUGAGCAGGGUAUAAAUAUAAACCCUAGGACCUUGUAAUCUAUCUAUCAAUCAAUCAAACAUACGUUUUUACUCAUAUUCCAGCAUCUACUUUUCGACGACUUCGUCAUACUUUUUUCUUUUUAUUACGAGUUCUUAGGAAUUUGUCGACUUAAGCUCGACGUGUUCUUGAGUUCCGCGUGAGUACCUCUUAGCCGUGACAUCCGGGCGCAUCGCUGUUGUCAGGACUAAAGUAUUCGAGUUAUCACCUUUGCCGAUAGUAAGGUCAAAUCGGCUGGCACGCCUUAACGUUUGAAUCGGGUAUUAGCCCUUUGUGUUUGCAGAUCCGUUUUGCAUCAACAGCCUGAGGUCCUUCAGCAUGAACAGGAGCGGUGAGGUGAUCCAGAAGGAUGCACUGCCGGCACCUCGGCAGGUUACUUUUGAAGCCAAUCCUGGUAAACUUCAAGAGAUGGUUGAUAGUGCUAUCAACCGUGCUUUGAUCAACCAAGCUGGUGUGCUGUCCAAUACGGUUUUCAACGCCGUGGCUAGAACUUUCAAGGAAGGACAAUUACCACCAGAUUAUGUGGGCCCCUCUCAUCAUCAGCAAGGAUCACCGGUGGUCACAGCUCCAUCGGUUGCUACGGCCGCUGCGGGCAUGGAGAUUCCCGUUCCUCCAAGUACGUUGGGAGUUACCAAUGCACAAUCUACACCGAUGACGACGAAUCCGCCGACUUCAGAAUAGAUUAAGCUUACUACAGAUUUAUUGGCAUCGGCAAUGUCAGGACCAGUUCCUCCUCCUAACUGGUGGGGUUUUGGUAUGCCUCCGAAAUACUUCAAGGCACCCGGUACAUCUCAAGCAACUGAUAUGAGAGGCAAGGCUCCUAUGGCAUCGGCACCUCCCAAUAUGCCGAUGAACCAGAGUCCCCAGUAUACUACAACUACUACUGCAAGACCUUACAAUGGGAAUUCUCAAGCUCCAACGUUCCAGAUGCCUAACGCAUCGGCAGACUCGAUGCUGAUGCAACAGAGGUUUAUGACUCAACCUGGGUAUGUUAAUUCGAUGAUAAUUCCCAAUUACCAGUCAUUGGCAGGACCUAUGCCGAUGAAUGCUAAUAAUGGAUGGCUUGGGCAGCAAGUCUUUCCGCAAACACCCCAACAGAGUCAUCAGGUUACAGGGUUCCAGCAAGGCCAGAUCUAUCCCGGGUUCCAGAAUCAGGGGAUUCCCAACCAGCCAAUGAAUCUUGGGCAGCAGGUCGGCGGACAACAGAUUGGCGGGCAACAGAUGGUGGUCCACGGAUUGGGGGCCAGAUGAUUAACCCGAUGUUUCAUGUAGAUCGUGCGCCGCACCGACACAUGAAGCUUACCAGCAGGUGCCGGAUCCGCAACCACCUCAUCAGCAAGAUGCCGAUGCUUAUUGGGCCGAUAAGAUUGCUGAAGUAAUGAGGGAUCAAUUUGGGAUAAAGCCCAAAGUCAACACUUACUCUUAUCGGACACCGUAUCCUCCUGCAUAUGAUUUGAUCCCGAUUCCAAAUCGAUACAAGGUACCGGAUUUUACUAAGUUUUCUGGGCAGGAUGACACGUCAACCAUGGAGCACGUCAACAGGUUCAUCAUCCAGUGCGGGGAAGCUGCUAACAGGGACGAGUUAAGGGUUCGCUUAUUCUCGUCAUCAUUGUCUGGAUCGGCUUUCAACUGGUUUAUAUCAUUACGUCCCAACUCAGUGAUUACUUGGGCUGAUCUGGAGAAACAAUUCCACAAAUAAUUCUUUUCUGGGGUCCAUGAGAAGAAGAUCACCGAUUUGGUCAAAUUGAGGCAACGCAAUGAUGAAUCAGUUGAAGGUUUUGUGCAGAGGAUAUGGGAAGUCAAGAACAAAUGCUAUAGCCUGGUUCUGGAUGAUCGGCAGCUAGCCGAUUUGGCUUUCCAGGGUUUGUUGCCACACAUCAGGGAUAAGUAUGCAUCUCAGGAGUUUGAAAGUUUAAGUCAUUUGGUGCAGAGGAUUUCUGAUCAAGAUAUCAAGCCAUUUGAACCCAAGAGAGCAUGGAACAAGAAGGUGUCCUUUGUUGAUGAAGCAGCAAGCUCAGAUUCUGAUGAGGAACCGGUCAUCGGCUUAGCAGAAUGGGUAAAAAACAAGAAGCCGAUGUAUUGUCCUUUUGGACACAAGGAACCAGAGAAGUUCGCGUUUGAUAUCACUAAGGCCGAUCGGAUAUUUGACUUUUUACUUCAGGAAGGUCAAAUAAAAUUAUCACCUAAGCAUGUGAUCCCAUCGGCUGAGGAGUUAAAGAAGAUGAAGUAUUGUAAAUGGCACAAUGCAACUUCUCACAGCACCAAUGAGUGCAAAGUGUUUAGGCAACAGCUGCAAUCGGCUAUAGAGUCAGGGAGGAUCAAAUUUGACAGCUCCAAAGCUCAGAAGCCGAUGAAGAUUGAUCAACAUCCUUUCCCAACAAACUUGCUGGAUGCUAAGGGGAAGGCCAAGGUCUUGACAUCGGAAGAAGCUGAAAGAAGUGCAUCGGUGGAUCCUCAGCAUCAAAUCACUACCGCCGAUGCGAAAGGAAAAGGCCUAGUCCAAGAGGGAGCUAACUCAGGGAGGCCUCCCCGAUCUGGUAUCAUCAUAACCCACAGAAGGCCUCGGGAGACUUGGCAGCAACGUGAAGAUCGGUAUCGGCACCAGCGAGAGGACUAUCAUCGGGAAGAAGAAAGACGCCGUCAGGUGUGGAAUCGGCAUAGGGAUCACUUGAAUUGCCCUUUCUUCAUUCAUUGCUGGGAGGAGAAUAUCAAACUUCCCACUAUCAGAGAUUGUCCUGAGUGCAACGGUUAUGACCGGUAUGACAGGUCUGAUCGGCGCUAUCAUGAUAAUGAUCGACGAUUUAAUGGGCCGAUUAGAGGGAGAGCACCCGUUCGUGAUCGGCAGGGGGGCAGGCUCAGCGUGCACGAUAGGCUUGGAGAUCGUGUUGAGUAUUUCCCCAGGAGCCAGGAAGAACUUGAAGAGGCAGCAGCAAUUUCCUCCAUGGUGUCCAGAGGGGUUGACCAGGACACAGAAAAGAAGGCUGCAGUGCGAAAGGCGAGAAGAGUUAAGCAAGGGGGAGAACUCUAGACAGUCUGGGGAUCAGCAACAACCAGAUCCUAAGGGGAAAGGUCCAUCGGAGAUGUCAACAUGGUUUUUAUAUUGCCGAUGGAGUUCCUUGCGCCAUCCAGUGAUGAUGAGGUAGAAUUCUCCGACCAAAUAGCUCAAUUGGUUCUGGAUCCGAUGACAGCUAUCUUCGAGAAGCCUGCCGAUGAUGAAAGGCAACAUCUUAAGGCUCUGUUUGUCAAGGGAAGGGUUGAUGGUCAGCCGAUGACUAAGAUUUUAAUUGACGGCGGGGCUGCUAUCAACAUCAUGCCAUAUGCAGUGUAUCGGAAGCUUGGAAAAGGAGAUCAGGACCUGACCAAGACCGAUAUGAUGCUCAAAGAUUUUGAGGGCAAUGUAUCCCCAGUUAAAGGAGCUAUCUGCGUAGAAUUAACCAUCGGCAGCAAAACCUUGCCGACGACCUUCUUUGUGAUCAGUGGAAAAGGUGCCUACAAUCUGUUGCUAGGGAGAGAUUGGAUUCAUGCCAAUUGUUGCAUCCCAUCUACAAUGCACUAGUGCUUGGUCCAGUGGGUAGGUGACAAGAUUGAAAUUGUCCCAGGAGACUCUUCAUAUGUUAUUGCAUCGGCGGAAGCAAACACCUAUGAAAGGACUAGGUGUAUUUCAGGAGAAGCUUGGGAAAAGGAUUUCCUCAAAGUUGCUGAUUAUGAAAUUCCACCGAUCCAAGCAGUCGGUUCUGAAGAUGGUUUUUAAUGGAUAGGUUCGCCGAUGAUGGAAAAUUAGGCCAGGGGUUCACAUCGGCCGAUGAUUUGGUAGAAGUAGACAUAGGUAGUGGUGAUAAACCUAGACCUACUUUUAUUAGUGCUAAGUUAAGUCCUGAGUGUAAGCAGCAGUUGACUGAUUUGUUAAAGGAAUAUAAAGAUUGCUUUGCUUGGGAUUAUACUGAGAUGCCUGGUUUGGACCGAUCGAUUGUUGAACAUCGGUUGCCUAUUAAGUCUGGAUUUUAGCCACAUCAGCAGCCAGCUCGCAGAUGUAAUCCUAAUAUUCUUCCUGACAUCAAGGCCGAAAUAACUAAACUUAUUGAAGCCAAAUUUAUUCGGCAGUGUCGGUAUGCCAAGUGGAUUUCCAAUGUUGUUCCGGUUUACAAGAAGAACGGGAAGCUUCGGGUCUGCAUUGAUUUCAGGAAUCUUAACAAAGCUACACCGAUGGAUGGCCACCCGAUGCCAGUUGCCAAUCUGCUAGUUGAUGCUGCGGCUGGGCAUCAGAUCAUUAGCUUUAUGGAUGGCAAUGCAGGAUACAAUCAAAUAUUCAUGGCGGAAGAGGAUAUUCCAAAGACCGCAUUUAGAUGUCCUGGUCAUGUCGGGUUGUUUGAAUGGAUAGUCAUGACCUUUGGCUUAAAGAAUGCUGGCGCUACUUAUCAAAGGGCCAUGAAUUUUAUAUUUCAUGAGUUCAUUGGCAAGCUGGUGGAAAUUUAUAUUGAUGAUGUGGUGGUUAAGUCUGGGGACUUCACAAAGCAUCUUGCCGAUCUACGAAAGGUGUUGGAGUGCACGAGGAAGCAUGGUUUGAAAAUGAAUCCCAAUAAGUGUGCAUUUGGUGUAUCGGCAGGGCAGUUUGUUGGUUUCAUGGUGCAUCAAAGGGCGAUUGAAAUUAGUCGAAGAUCUAUUGAGGCUAUCAAUAAAAUAGUUGCCCCUACUAAUAAGACUGAGCUCCAGUCCUUGAUCGGCAAGGUGAAUUUUAUCAGGAGAUUUAUAUCUAAUUUGUCUGGUAAAAUUCGUGCUUUCAGUCCUCUUCUUAAGCUAAAAGCCGAUCAAGAAUUUGUUUGGGAGAAAGAACAACAGUUGGCUCUGGAUGAAAUUAAGAAUUAUUUAGUGAAUCCUCCAGUUCUAAUUCCACCUCAGCAAGGGAAGCCCUUCAGAUUGUAUUUGUCUGCCGAUGGAAUGGUCAUCGGUUCGGCUUUAAUUCAAGAAUUUGAAGGGAAAGAGCGUGUAAUUUAUUACUUAAGUAGGAGGUUGAUUGAUGCUGAGACCAGGUAUUCAGCUAUUGAGAAACUAUGCUUGUGCCUUUAUUUCUCUUGUAUCAAGUUGAGACAUUACUUGCUGUCGGCCGAAUGCACUGUUAUUUGUAAAGAUGAUGUGGUCCGGUACGUGCUGUCUAUGCCGAUUAUGAGUGGCAGGAUCGGUAAAUGGAUUUUGGCGCUAUCAGAAUUCGAUCUACGUUACGAAUUAGCUAAGGUAGUUAAGGGACAGGUUAUGGCCGAUUUUGUAACCCAACAUUGUGGUGCAGUGGAGGCUUUGGAAAUUGUACCUUGGACGCUUUUGUUUGAUGGAUCCACAUGUGACCUGGGGGCAGGAAUCGGCAUAGUAUUAAUUUCCCCUCAGGGAAGGAGGUAUGAGUUUUCCUUACCGAUUGUUGCCACGUCGACGAAUAAUCAGGCUGAGUAUGAAGCUUUAAUAAAGGGAUUGGAGUUGUUAAGAGAAGUUCAUGUUGAUGCUAUCGAGGUCUUCGGGAAUCCUAUGCUAGUUAUAAAUCAAUUGGGUGGAUGUUAUGAGUGUCAAAGUGAAGUUCUCGUAACUGGAAAGGAGUAUGCAACUAUUAAAGGAAUUCAAGGAUUUCCGAUUAGAGCAUGUUCCUCGAUUGCAUAAUGAAGAGACCAAUCGGCUGGCUCAGCAUGCCUCGUGAUAUCAGCCUAUGAUUAAUGCGAUAUCGGCAAUUAGUGCCGAUGAUUGGAGAAAAGAAAUCAUUGACUAUUUGAAGGAUCCAUCUAAGAAAGUUGAAAGGCGGGUUCGGUUUCAAGCCACCAAGUAUGUGGUCCUCGAAGAUGAAUUGUAUUACCGAACUAUUGAUGGGAUUCUUCUCCGAUGCUUAGAUGGUGAUGAAGCUAGGAGUUUGAUGGGAGAAAUCCAUGAAGGGGUAUGUGGAGCACAUCAGUCGGCUUUCAAGAUGAAGUGGAUGAUUAGGAGGAAUGAAUAUUAUUGGCUUACUAUACUUGAGGAUUGCUUUAAGUAUUUCAAAGGGUGUCAAGGGUGUCAAAAGUUUGGUAAUAUUCAAAGGGCGCCUGCAUCGGCUAUGAAUCCUAUCAUAAAGCCUUGGCCGUUCCGAGGAUGGGCUAUUGAUUUGAUCGGCCAGAUUUAUCCACCAUCUAGCAAAGGGCAUAAGUUUAUUCUAGUUGCCACCGAUUAUUUCACCAAGUGGGUUGAAGCUAUUCCCUUGAAGAAAGUCACAUCGGCCAAUAUGAUUGAUUUUGUGAAAGAGCACAUCAUUUACCGAUUUGGGAUUCCUUAAACAAUUACUACUGAUCAGGGCACUGUGUUCACAUCAGGGGAAUUUGAUGAAUUUGCAAUCGGUAUGGGGAUUAAAGUGUUGAACUCUUCCCCUUACUAUGCUCAAGCUAAUGGGCAGGCCGAGGCAUCUAACAAAGGAAUUAUUAAGCUUAUUAAACGGAAGAUUGAAGAAAAUCCUAGAAGGUGGCACACAUUGUUAAAUAAAGCUUUAUGGUCAUACCGGAUGGCUUGUCAUGGAUCGACCAAGGUUUCACCCUAUCAGUUGGUGUAUGGGCAUGAUGCAGUGUUACCUUGGGAGAUUAAGGCUGGGUCUAGGCGAUUAUCUUUUCAAGAUCAGUUGGCUGCCGAUGAUUAUGCUACUUUGAUGACAGACGAGUUGGAUGAUCUAGCAGGGCAUCGGCUGAGGGCUUUGAUGAGUAUAGAAGAGAAUAAGAAAAGAGUCGCCAGAUGGUAUGAUAAGAAGGUAAAGACUAAGGAGUUUGCCGAUGGAGACUUAGUAUGGAAAUUAAUUUUACCGAUCGGGACUAAAAGUUCAAAGUUUGGGAAGUGGUCUCCCAAUUGGGAAGGUCCCUAUCGGAUAAGUCGAUCGACUCCUGGUAAUGCCUACAUUUUAGAAACUCUCAAAGGAGUUGAAUUUCCCAGAGCAUUAAAUGGCAAAUAUCUAAAGAAGUACUACCCUAGCAUAUGGGUCGAUGCAUAAGAGUUUAAAUGCCGAUAACACUCCUAUCGGCUGGAUUGAAAUAUGUUUGGAGCCGGACUUAAUGUUUCAAAAGAUGCCGAUAACAGUCCUAUCGGCUAGACUAAACAUCAAGGAAGCUGGAAAGUAGGGAGAAGCGGGUAUGUUGCCGAUGAAGAGCUCACAUGUUUAGCAGCGCUUGGAUGGCCGAUAUGGCACGUAGGCGAAUUUGGUUGGCUGCUUCUAUCUCUUUGACGUCUUCAUCGGCAGAACCUUCUAUCGGCUUCAGCUUCUUCUUCAACUGCAGUGCUUUGUGACCAUGGGCAUUUCGCUCUUGCUCAAGGAGCUUGAUGGUCUCUAGCAGUUGACUCUCUUCCUGUUGGGCUUGGGAUAGGGCGUCCUCCACUUGCUUGAGUUCUGCCAACAGGGCUUCUCUUUUUGCCGAUAGAUCAGAGAUCUUCUGCUUCAGUGCGUCUCCUGAGGACUUCAAGGUGCCGAUGUCCUUGUGCUUCUCAUCGGUCAGGAGCUUUUCUUUCAUCAUCUCUUCAGAAAGCUGGGUCUGAGCGGCUCUAUCGGCAAGGCGCCAGGCAGCCCUCUGGUAUUGCAGUUGACGACUCUCUAGAUGUGCUGCUUGGAAAAGGAUUUCUUCAGCAUCGGUGGGGAUUUGGCCUCUCAGGGUCUUGAAUAAAGCCUUGGCCGGGUCAGAGUCAUCAACUAGUUGGGCUGUGUCUUGAUGAAGGAGGGCCGACAGUUCUUCCAGCCUUGCCCUGAUCUCUGUCGAUGUAACCCCAACAGCUCGAGAGGAGCUUGCUUCCUCACCUUCAUCUUCGGAGACGUCAAUGGCAAAGGAGAAGAGGCUGUCAGGAGAGUCUUGUUCCUGUAAAGGAAAUAAAGUGAGUCAUUCCAUGGUCAUAUAUUGAUAAGUAAUACUGAUGGAAACUGGAUGGCUUACUUGCUUCAAGGCGAUCUCUCGCCUUUGACUGGAAGAUGCCGAUGGAAUCACAGGUUGAUCGGCUGAGACUGCCGGUUGAGCUAUAUCAGCUAAAAAAAUAACAGAGAUAAUUGUAAGACAGAGAGAAUAAGUUCAUCGACAGUAAUCUCAUGAAAUAUAUUACCUUGAGGAAGAGCAAUACUUGUCUGGAUGGAAGAGAUCACCGAUGCUGCUGGGUCGGUAGUUUGUUCAUGCACGUCAGCCGAUGUGUCUUCUGGCUGAAGUACUUCUGGUUGAAAUUCCUCUGGAUGAGGAUCUUCUGCUUGUGGUGCUUCUUGCGGUUGAGGAGGAGAUGGUACUUGCUGAGUCUGUGUUUCUGGAGGAGAAGGAGAAGAUUCCACCGGAAUUGGAGAAACCGGAGGGGAAAGGGGAGUUGCCACUCUCUGGCGCUUUAUUUGUGCUCUGGUACUCCUGGUACCUUUUCUCUUCUGCUGGCUGGACUGGGGGGCAUCAGCACCUUUGCUUUUGGUCCUUGCCGAUGCGCUGGAGUGCUGAUACAGAAAGAAAGACACGUAAGUACAAGUUUGACAAAUAUAAGAAUAAGAUCGGUAUAAAAAUUGAAGGUAUACCCUGAACGCCUGUGCCAAGGUAGAAGUAGCUACCGAUGAGGACAUAUGAGUCCUCUUGGUGGUAACUUUCUUGAGGCGAACACCUCGAUGCAUGAUGGCGGCCAGGGUAGGAGCGUUGUUGCCGAUUGAAGAGAUUGAACCUGAUGGAAACAGGUCAAUCGGCUUGCCGCUCCUGCUAACCGAUGGAGGGGUGUUGUCAACCUACAAGAUGAUACAAAGGUGAAUCACCGAUGGAAAUAAGACUAAGAAAAUCAAAACAUCGGUUUGAAGAUACUUACAGUAUUAUCGGGAACUUCAUACUCGGGGUCGAUCAUGCCGCGGUACGUAAGAGCCGAUCUGCAGAACAGAUGCUCUUUCCAUUCUGCCCACCAUUGCUUGUACGCCUGAGUGAUGAAGGCGGCUGGAACCCACUCUGUCAAGUCUGCAUCUGUAUCGGCACUUGAUGGCAGUUGGGCUACUCGGGUCCAUUCAAGGAGGCUGGUGAUGGUUUCCCUGGGUUUUAUCACAUCGGCAUAAUAGAGUGCAGUCGGUAGCUGGCCGAAAGCUAAUUGACGAGCUAGUACCGAUGGAUUGUAAAACUCAUAGGUCUGGACGGAGGUUUUCCCACUGCCAAAGAAAUUCACUGGUAUAGCUCUAGGAGUGAUCAGUGCCAUCAUCACUUCAUGAUCCUUGUUGAGAGCGUCAUUGAACGGAUUGAAAACCAGAGGAAACAUGGUGUCUGGAUCAUCAUAAGGCAACCAUGCUCGCUGCUCUCUGGUCAAGCCUUCGUACAAGGUUUGGAAGAAUCGGCUGACCUGAUCUGGAUUACCUCCUGUGCCAGGCAGAGCUAUGACAGCCUCACCGAAGUUUAGGGGAGGACGUGUUGCCGAUUCUUCUUCAUCCAGUUCGUAGUCCUUGGCUAUGUCCCUUGGGAAACGCUGUGCAAAAAGAUCGAACUCAAGACGCUUGUGCAUGUGGAGGCUGAGCCACAUGUCGAUGAACCACUAGGGACCUCCCAAGUUACCGAUGGGCUGGCCGAGUAGGAGUUUUCUGGUCACUUGGUGAAGGAGGUGAUAGGCUGCACCGAGCAGGUAUCGGUCGAGGGGAAAUUGGCCACCGUUAGCCAGUCUCUCUGCUGCCGAUAGAUAGACUGAGGUCAGGCCUGCCGAUCGGCCACAGAAUACGAACUUGUCCAGCCACAUGUUUAGAAAGGUGGUUUGUUCCUUUAUAUCGACGGACCCCGUUUUGCGGUACUUCUGAAUGUACCCGGACCAGCCACCGAUGGAGCGGGUUUCUACCUUGGCACUGGGCGUGGUGUCAAAGAAAUGGGUGCUAUCGGCAGAAGAUACAUCUAGGCCAGUGAGCAUAACUACAUCGGCAAGUGUAGGGGAAGCAGGGCCAUGGCCAAAGACAAAGGCAUUGAGCGUGUCCGACCAGAAGUAUGAUGCAGCUAUCAACAGUGAUUCGUUCCUAUGCAUAUCGGCAAUAGACAACCUGAUGCAUUGGUCUAGUUUUCUCUCGCCCCAUUGGACUUCAUUUGAGUGGCUGACCCUCAAGAACCAAUCCUUCCAUCCCACGGUAGGACUGGGCCAGGAACGAAAGGUAUCCUUCCAUAGAUCCAAAGAGAAAUUCUUGGCUCUGAAAGGGAUCUUGUUGGUUUCUGCGUUAAUGAGGUCGGUUGGAUCUGGAUUCCCUAACGGACCAAGACAUUGGAGGUGUGGUUGAUCGGUGGGGAUGACGAUUUUGUUGGACAGAUUCUAAUGGUUUUGAAGGUGAAAGAAAAAACAAAGAAAGAAAAAAAAGAGGAUGUUCAGUAAAAUAGAUUGCGGAUGAAUAGGGAUGCGAAAAAAGCACAAAAGGUGGAGUGAAGAACUGACCUCAGGAACGGUGAAGUUGAUGGCCAUCUCGCCACGAAGAGGAUGAUCGAGGGCUUCGGAGUUGGUGAAGAAGGACUUCGUCGGAGAUCUUGGAGCUCUCGAACAGUGCCGCCGCCGGGAAAGUGGAGUUGGAGCUGUGGAAUGAUGUGAUGGGGAAGAAGUACCCGAGAAGGAACUAUUUAUAGGACAAAACGGGCAAGGACAAAUCUGACUUAUCUCCUCGCCGUAUCCGUGAAAUCUGAGGGUACUCAGGUAGAUAUGGUAACUGUUCGCACGAUGAUCAAGGGAUUGUGCAGGCGAUUUGACAGGAAGCGGUCAUUAUCUAGAGAUAUUUUACUGUGCGAGAUCUCCUGGUCGGUCCAUCGGCAGCGCCUUGUAACGGUCAUAUUGCCGAUGGGCGUGUAAAGUGGAGAUAGCCGUUUGGGAGGAAAAGAUAUGGACGUCCUGAUCAGUCCAUCGGCAAGUCCCUGUAACGGUAAUAUUGCUGAUGCGUGACUAAAAUGGAAAUGUCCGUUUGGGAGGUUGAGGAUUUGGAGGAAUCUGCAGAGGAAUAGGAUCAGAGUUGUUCAGAUUAAGGCUGUCGGUUACUAGAUUGGGAGCAUUAAUUGCAGAAAGGCAUCAUUACCGCAGAGAAUUUCAGAGCAUUAACGAUUUCAUACUCCGAAAUUGGGGGGCAUGUGUUGAUGCCGUUUUUGGGCGCGUAUCCAUGAUUGGUAAAGUGUAGGCCGACACGAUAAGACGGCAGUGCUUGAUCUUCAGGGUAAGUUGCCGAUGAGGAUGGUUGCCGAUGGGGGGAUGGCUGAACGUGACCAAGUCCAUAGGUAAUGAUGUGUUUGUGCCGAUGACUACCACAAGGCAAUCUGCCGAUGAUGCGGGGGAAGAGUUUGGAAGUUGCCGAUCGGCUUGAGGAGGUGUUCCAGUUUGUCACGCGGGGAUAGUUUUAUGUUUUCCUUAGUUAUUUAAAUCGUUUUGUAUACGGAUUCUGUUUAAUUUGGAAUUCGAUUUCUAGUCAUGUCUGGUUGUAGCUCUUUGGGUAGGGUAUAAAUGUGGACCCUAGGGCCUUGUAACAAUGAAUCAAUCAAUCAAACAUCAGUUUUUACUCAUAUUCCAGCAUCUACUAUUUCGACGACUUCGUCAUACUUUUUUCUUUUUAUUACGAGUUCUUAGGAAUUCGUCGACUUAAGCUCGGCGUGUUCUCAAGUUCCGCGUGAAUACCUCUUGGCCGUGGCAUCCGGGCGCAUCGCUGUUGUCGGGACCAAAGUAUUCGAGUUACCACCUUUGCCGAUAGUAAGGUCAAAUCGGCUGGCACGCCUUAACGUUUAAAUCGGGUAUUAGCCUUUUGUGUUUGCAGAUUAGCUUUUGCAUCAACAAAUCGGCUUCGGACUGACUGUGGCGGUGAGUUCACGGAGGUUGAAUUCACCAUGUACUAUGCUGAGGAGGGAGUAGGGCAUCAUCUCAUAGGGCCCUACUCACCGCAGCAGAACGGCGUGGUGGAGCGACGAAAUCAAACCAUCAUCGCCAUGGCGUGAUCCAUGCUGAAUGCGAAGGACAUGCCGGUUGAACUUUGGGGGGGAGGCGGUGGGCACGGUAGUGUUCAUCCUGAACCGUUGCCCCACGAAGGCGUUGAAGGGGCAGACUCCGUACGAAGCUUGGCACGGGCGCGAGCUGAACGUCACGUUCCUACGCAUGUUCGGGUGCGUCGGCCAUGUGAAGACCACCAAGCCGGGCCUCACAAAGCUGGAAGAUAGGAGCACCAAGGUGGUGUUCCUCGGCUACAAGGAGGGAUCUAAGGCUUAUCGGCUCUAUGAUCCGGUCGGCGGUAAGGUGUUGGUGUCACGAGAUGUGGUGUUCGACGAGGCGGCGGCGUGGAAGUGGGACAAGGCAGAGGAGCAAGGAGGCAGUGGGCAUGGCGACACUUUCAUCAUGGAAUGCUUGACGAUCCAUGAUAGGGAAGAGGAGUCUUGAGAGCUAGCAAUCGGGGAAGCCGGUGACAUUACAGCUCCAGAGGUGGUGGAGCCAUCAAGUCAAGCAGUGGCUGGAACGCCAGUUGUGGGGGUAUAAACCCCUAUACCCUUACGACUAGACUUGGGCCAGGAGGCUUGGCCCAUCACAUGACAAAUUCGGGACUUUAUCCAACUGCUCGGAGUUUCGCGCAAGGAAACAAGACGUGGAGAUCAAGUAGGAUUCUAGUCGGUUAGGAUAGAAAUUGAUAUCGUACUAUCUAUGGAAAUUGUAACCGACUAGGAUUGGUUUCCAGAUCUGUAACCCUGCCCUCCGGACUAUAUAAGGAGAGGCAAGGGACCCCCCUAGGACAUCGAAUCUCAACUCGACACAAUCCAUAGCAAUACAAUCAGACGCAGGACGUAGGUAUUACGCCCACACGGCGGCCGAACAUGGAUAAAAACCUUGUCCGUGUCUUGCGUCACCAUCAAGUUCGUUGCUUGCGCACCGUCUACUGAUAAACUACUACCGUGGGUAUACCCCAAGGCGGCGUCAACAAACUCUUUCGACUCUUGCCGGCCAACUCGUGUCACCACACACGAACAGCUGGAGACGUCCCUAACAAUAACAUCGACCCCCAGGGGACGAUCUGUCAAGCUCAAGACAGCUGAAGACCAGAAUUGCCCUUAUGGUCUAAACAAAUCGACCGACCAGUAUUCUCGGCAUACCCAAUUUCUAUUCAGCAGGGCGGGCUUGUCGUCGGGACAGAGCAGCCGGGCAGCUCACCAUUACGUCAACAUGGUAUCCAUCCGAGUCCUGUCGGACGAUAAGGCUACCAGUACGAACUCCAGUACAGGGUCUGUCCCUACCGAGGUUUUACACUCCGAGGACGAAGAUUACGACCUGGAUUUGCCACCAUACCCUCCAGGUUUUUCUCGUUUUCCAGUCUUUCCACCCCAGCGAGGAGAUCUCGUCUUUAACGUCGGCAACGAUGAACCGGUUGUCGACGGCGAAACCGACGAGCAGAAGCAACUCCGCGAGCAGCGCAAUGCCGAUCGUGCUCGGCGGCGCACGGAUGAGGAACGACAACUUGCGCCACACAACCUCAGUGAUGCUUUCGACAUGGUCGGGGAUCAGCCAGUCUACAAGACGCCAAGCGCGAACGUGGCUGUCGCCAUGGCAAAUCUGGACCGACUCCCCGACACCCUGGAGUGCCAGGGCGUCCGGUCCAGUAUACGGGCGCAUCUGAUCGCUGCGAUGGGACAGACAGCCACUUUGCUCAAAAGGGUCCAAGCCGUCCCCUACACGGAGGUUUCCUCUGACCAGACUCAUCGCAGCCGGACUUCACCGUGACCCAGCGGGCGCCAUCAUAGCCGCUCCCUCAACGGUCGCAGAAAGGACGCUGGAUGCGACAACCGUGGUGAGGACAUGGGUGGUUAUCGUGAGCAGAGGCACGGGCGUGGUCAGGAAGUAAACCAGGAUAGGGAUCUACGCUAUAACAUCCCUCCCAAGGAUGCCCGCGACUGCAUCAACAGGCGCGCUACGGAAAGAGCGGUACACGAAAACCUACGACGCAUUGAGUAUGAUGCAGCACACGGCCCCCUGGCCUAAGAUAGUUCUCUUCACACCUUCGCCAGGUCGUAUGGCCCCGCAACUUUAUGCUCGAGAAGCUUAAAAAAUACGACGGCAAGGAGAAUUCUAAAAAUUGGAUCACUCUCUACGAGAUCGCAGUCCGAUCAACAGUAGGAGACGAGCACGUCAUGGCAAAUUACUUCCCAGUCGUCCUUGACCAAGCUAGCCAUCAGUGGCUCCUCGGCCUGCCUGAGGACUCCUUCGAUUCUUGGGAAGAACUGUGCCAGGCGUUUAUUGACAAUUUCAUCGCUACCUGCAAGCAGCCUAGAAACUAAUACGAUCUCGAGAGAAUAAGGGACAGAAAGAACGAGCCCUUGCGCGAUUACAUCCGACGAUUCUCGGAUAUGCGCCUUAAGAUUCCAAAAAUUUCUCACGACGAGGCCAUAUCAGCCUUCAUCAAAGGUCUACGCUUCCAUGAAGCACUAAGGAAUAAGCUACUGCGCAAAAGGCGGACCACGGUUACCGAGCUCCUCGCCACGGCAAAAAACUACGCUGAUGCCGAUGACGCAGAAAAACUCAUCCGAGAAGAUGCGAGAGGCGCCCACCAGCCUUCCCGACGAGACGACAGUCGCGGACGCUUCGACAACCGAAACCCUCACCGCAGUGACAACCGCGACCACCGAGAAGGUUGGGACAAGCGACGCGACAACCGUGAUGAUUUUAUAAGCAAGCGACCUCGUGACCACGACCACGAGGUGAACACAAUCAAGCGCCCCAACGGACGACGGGACUAUCAGGAAGACUACAACAAGACACUAAAAGGACCAUGCCAACUCGAUCCCAAGUCCAACCAUACGAUGGAAGAAUGUCGCGUCCUAAAAAGCAUCUAUACUCAGCGGGCCGCUCAGGGAGACUCUGUUAAGAAAAAUGGGAAACAAGAUAGGCACGAAGACGAAGACGACGACCAGGAUAGGGACCCGCGGCACCAGUAUGUCAGCCCUACCGAUGUGGUACAUUCCAUCUUUGGAGGCAAAGUUUCCAUCGAAUCCAAACGAGAAAGGAAGCUCCUGAAGAGAGCCUGCCUCAAUGUGGACAGCUCGGAUGGUCUGAUCACUGACCCGAAGUUUCCCCCUGGUCGCACAGAGAGAUCUCCUUCAACAGGCAGGACUAGUGGGCUGCAAUCCCAGAGCCAGGACGUUUUCCUCCGAUCCUAGACCCUUGCAUCUACAGCGUCAGAUUCGAGCGCGUGCUUGUCGACGGAGGCAGCUCCAUCGAUAUUGUUUUCCACAAUAGCCUGCCUGCUCUCAAGCUAACUUUAGCGCAACUGAAGCCAUAUGACGCUCAGUUCUGGGGCGUCCUGCCAGGUCAAAGUUCAGUACCCCUCGAGCAGACAACGCUGCCUGUCCAGUUUGGAACACCCGACCACUUUCGCAUAGAGUUCGUCAACUUUGUGGUCGCCGACUUUGACGGUACCUAUCACGCAAUUCUAGGUCAUCCCUCGCUGACCAAGUUCAUGGCGGUCCCGCACUACUUGUAUUUGGUCCUCAAGAUGCCAACUGAGAAAGGCGUCUUGACCGUCAGAGGCAACAUCUACACCGCAUACACUUGCGAGGAGGAAAGCUUCAACAUCACUGAGGCAAUUGAUCUCUCGAUUCGCAUGACAGAAACUGUAGCUCAAGCCACGCAAGUUCCACCCGACUAGCUCCAACUACCUGAGCAGGAGACUCCAAGGAAAAACUCAAAGUCCAAAGAGCACAAGGAAGUACAGCUGGUCGACGGCAACCCCGAGAAGACGGCUCUCAUCGGGGCCAACCUGGACCCCAAAUAGGAAGACGCGCUCGUUAGGUUUCUAAGGGACAACGUAAGAAUUUUUGCAUGGAAACCCAUAGACAUGCCCGGCGUCCCACGAAACCUGGUCGAGCACUCCUUAAAUGUCUUGAAGACCGCAAGACUGUUGACGGUCCUUAAGUAUCAAAUUUAAUCAUCAAAUAAAUAAAGAAAAGGAUCCAAAUGCAACGAACACCUAGACUUAGGGUUUUAUCUAACAGAAUUCCACAAGUUUUGGUGUUUGUCUAUUUCUGUAGGGGGUUAUCAGGAAAUAUGGAGGAAAGGCUCACACGUCGGGUUUACAUAGAGAUAUUAACGUGCCGCGCAAUUUUCUAUCAUCUAGAAGACUCCAGAAGUCACAAGAACGAACGGGAAGCCAAGCGGGCUCGGGGGUAGGGCGCCCGCCCGCCCCCCUUGGGCGCCCACCCAGCUACAGAGUCCAAUCCGGACUCGUUUCGCGGAUUACGCUCCACCGACCUAAAGGAUCAAGGAUAACCGUUCAAUCAAUGUCGGUUUGAUCCGACGGCCUAGAUUCACUUGAGGGGACUAUAUAAGUAGACCCCCUGGCCCCUGGAGGAGGCACCGCUUGAUCCCUAUUAAUUAUUCAUAGACAGAGCAAAAGCUAGGGUUUGGAGAUGAGAGCUCUCCUCUCAUCUCUAAACUAGAGUAGAUCUAGAUAGUAGCGAGAUGGAGAGCGAGGGAGGAUUGGAGGAGAGGCCGGCCUGUCGGUUCUUCCUCUGGUUGUACUUCGCCAUGAUCAAGCUCUAAUCAAGCUUGCUCAUGGGAUGACUCUGGUAAUCUACUUCUAAUUCAUUAUGCAAUUACUAAUCAUGUAUGUUCUGGUUCACAACUCUUUUGAGUACUUUAAUCUAUAGGACGCUAUAGGUGAUAGUUGUAGUAUAGGUGUAAGCGUGGUGCUUAGACCUAGAUUACUUGUGGAUAUCCCCUGUCUAGCUAGAUCGUGUGGUAGGCCGCGUAGGUGACAGUUACGUUGAUCCUCUGUAGUCCACCUCUUGUUAGCAGGACGGGUAGGGUUUAUCGCCCUAUGGAUAAGCAUCCUUUGUGGUGUAUUCUUAUCACGUGGUUCGUCCCAGACAUAGACAUACCCCUUUGAAGUAGAGAAACCAUAGUUAUCCUCUCUAUUCUGCUACCAUCGCCCAUAUAUUAGAUUGCUCUACUCUCUAUUCCCAUAUUAUCACCCAUUGUUAUUUUACCUUUAAUAUUGUUCUUAUUCAAUUCUACCAUCUUUCCUAUUUACACCUACCUAUCUAUCUAGGUUAAGUUAGAGCGUAGAUCAGUUCUCCCGUUUUCCUGUGGAUACGAUAAAACCUUUAACCGGGUAAAAGCUACAACGGUAUCCGUGCGCUUGCGGAUUUAUCUGUGUGCGUAUAAAUACCAUAGUACACUCUAGUGCCAUGGUGGGGAUGACAACCUAGUAUUCAAGUGGUGUUAGCUAGUUUUAACAAGCAUUUUUGACGCCGUUGCCGGGGAGACGGUUGCUGAGUUGACUACGAACUAGCUUAAUCAUUUUCUAAAAAAAAUAUUUUUCCUUUUACCCUUUGCCUUAUCUCUGCUAUUCUUUCUUCUUAUCUAAUCCUUGAUCUCUGGUCUAUCAUGAAUUCAAACAUGUCUAUCUACGAAUUCCAUAGACCUACGGGCACACAUCUCGAACCACCAAAAUCUUCAAAGCCUAUCAUAGCAUCUAGUUUUGAGAUAGACCCCGAAUACAUAGAAUUUUUUCAAAAACAACCUUUCUCAGGAGAAGGUGAAGAAAACCCAUACAUACACCAAAGAGAGUUUUAUCGAGUCUGUGACCUCCUUCGCAUAAAAGGCAUGUCCGAUGAGACCCUUAAAUGGAAGCUCUUUCCGUUCUCUUUAAUAGGAAAAGCUAGACAUUGGUAUAAACUCAAAGUAGGGAGUGUUCAUGGAGAUUGGAAGGAGAUACAUAAUAGUUUUCUUUUAAAAUAUUUUCCAAUCUCUAAAGUGGCGGAACUUCGGCGUGAGAUUAUUUCUUUUAGACAACUGGAGGAAGAAUCUCUUGGCAAAUCAUGGGACCGCUUUAUUAACCUUACUCUCAUUGGCCCAAAGCUUUCUAUUCCACAAGAAGUUCUUCUAAUUCACUUUUUUGAGGGCCUUAGUAUGGAAAAUAAGCAAACAUUGAAUACAGCCUCCGGAGGAUCUUUCCAUCACCUAUCCGCUAGUGAAGCUUGGAAUUUGAUUGAUUUAAUGAGCGAAAAGUCUCCUAGCUUUUAUAUCCCUGAGAAAGAGAAAGAACCAGUUCCUAGACAAGAAGAAGAAGUUUCGAUAGCCACAUCACAACCACUUCAAUUCCAAACUUUAGCUAUCGAUCCUAAACCAUCAAUACCCCAAAAUUCUCCAAGGGAGGAAGUAAUUCCGACCUUAAAUCUUUUAGAUACUGAUGGUUUAGACUUCUGGUUCCAUAAGAGACCUUCAAGCAGGGAUAAUUCAAAUCCUUGCAAUAAUGUUUCUCUUAGAAAAUGUCCUGGUUCCUUUUAUGAAGAAGUCGAGGAUGACAUAUCAAGUGAAGGAGAGCUAAGCCAUAUAGAAAAUUCUAUCAGCUCCCCUUUCCUGAUCACAAGUUCUAAAUGGCUAGAAUGUGUAGAAUGGAUGGAUAAGGAAGAAGCCUUAAUGGAUUCUGACUUUGGCUAAAAUGGUGAGUUCUUGACUCCCUUUGAAAAUGGGAUUCAUCCAACUAUAGAAGAGGACAUAGGUGAGACCAAUCCAGGAGAAAUUUCAAACAUUCAGAUUGGAGACGAAGAUAACAUUAAUGAGCAUGGAAUUUAUUUCAAAGCCAUCUCAUUUACUCCAUGCUCAUAUGCAACAUCUUCCCAAUCUAUUGGUCUCUCCAACAUCACCACAUUUGAGAUCUCCAACCCCCUCUUCCUUUAUAUUUAUAAAAACUUUAAAAGGGCGGUUGUCAAUGCAUAUGUCUAUAAUAAAUAUUGUAGAUCUCAUUGAGUUGAUCUUGAUAUAGGUCAGCGUUGGAAGGGAAACCACUACGCCGAGAUAAAUUGAUGGUUUCCCAAGGACAAGCUUAGUGUCCUAAAAUAUGCAUUGAUCAGAUCGUAACAUGAGCUUUUAAUUAUUUGCAACAUUACCUUGUGUAUUGAGCAUAUAAGGAUAAUUGUAAAAAUAUUCCUUCGGGUAUUCUUGUCACUAACCUUUCUAAGAUUGGAGCAAGAAGAUCGGAUGAAUGACAAGCACAAGGUACGUCCAACCGAUCAUCAUACAACAUUGAAUUAAGUUCAUCCAAACUUGAAUUUUGCAAAAUUCAAGCUUGGCGAAGUACCUUACAUAAAAACAUCUUUUGUCAUGUUGCUAUGUUGGUUGUCCCUACCUUUGAAACAUGCUUAAUUUGUUAAAUACUAAUCACACUACUUCAUCUCCAUUUGAGUCGAUCUCUAUAAAUGCUGUCAUGCUACCUUUAUCUAUUUACUAGCAAGUGUUGGUUUGGAAGUACUCGCCAUACUUCCAUUGGCAUUUAAAUUAAGCAUGGUGCUUAGGUUAAAUAGCCUUCCUUAAUCUGAUUAGACAUGGAGUCUAGUUUGGUUAUUGAACUAAAAACUGCUUGAGUAGAUAUUGGUAUAUUUUGUCGGACUAACCCCUGCAGGAAAACUUUCAAUAUCAACCUGGGAAGUCCUGAGAUAAACUCACAUUGGAGACAAGGAGAGGGACACAUGAAGUUUAACAAUUUGCACAAGAAGGACAUAGCUCAUUCAUCAUAGAGAGAUGAUCCAUGGAAGGAGACAAAGUACAUAAACAAGAUACACAACCACUACGAAUGGGAAGCUUCCACAAGGUGAGAUGGUACCAUCACUCUUCAAUUAAGGUAACAUCUUAAGAUAUCUGACUAUCACUUUUAUAAGCUUCUCCUUGGUUCUGGCGUUCACAUAAAUAAAGAGACAAACAUGUAUGAUUUAUAACUCCAAAUUAACCAACCCAACUGACUCAGCAUGUUUAGUCCUUUAAUCUUUGUUCCUAGUACUACCUCCAUGAUCCCACACUCCUAAUCAUAUGAGCUAAAAUGUUACACAUUCAAUCUUUGAGAGAUAUAAAGAAAAAGACAUAUACAUAGAUAGAUUAUCUUUCCAUAAGGUUGAGCGAUCUGAUCUGACAAAUGUUAUAAGUACUGCACUCAUGAACUUAUCAUCCAUCACCAUUGUCUUGCUCACUAUGCUUAAGGUUAGAGAAGAACAAAUACACUUUUGGUUCUGUGGGUGUUUUCCACCAACAGGACCCAUGCACUUGAUCUCUGCCUUGUCUCUAUGAGCAGGUACACUUCAAGCAAAAUAUGGAGGAGUUUUAUAACUCUCAGACUCUACCAAAUGAAGGACCUGGAUCUACGAGCACAAACACACUGAGCAGGAUGCUGCCAACGCCGCACUUCGAACUGCUGGGCAAACGAAGAACAUGGGUGACACCGUAUCAAGAGGUGCAGACGUCAAGGUCCACACCUGAAUCAAAUGGCGCACCUAAAGAAUGAACACGGUGAGAAGUCUUGUUCAGAAGACUUAAAACAUUGGAUCCUUCCGGAAGGUAAAAUCGGUAUUUAUCCAUAUUUAUCUUUUCUGCAAUCCUUUUCCUUUUUUUAUUUCAUCACUUGCAUUAGUAUAUUUACUUUUCCACAUUAGCAUUAGAAAAGAAAACAAAAAUAUUUGUUCAUUGCACUGUAUCAUAAAAUCUAAAGCCCCAUGUGAGUAGACUUGUGGUUUAAAACCCAUAGGUAUAUUGACUGUGGUGGUAUAAAAUAAAUAUGUUUUGAUCUUACAAUAAAAAAAAUAAUAAGUGCAUGAUCCUGCUAAAUAAAUAAAAUUUAUUAGGGGGAAUAUCAAUAUGAUAAAGGCUAAGAGAUUUUAUGCUAACACUUAACCAUUCCACAAAGCUUUGUUGUCUAUUUGAGCUCCACAGAAUUCAAGGAUCAAAGAAGACUAGCAAACGGAGGACAUCCUAAUCGCUGUCAGGGUGCUGCCGACAUUCAAAUACACCUCCGUCAACUGCUAGCUACAUCAGAAGAAAUUACGUCAAAAUCCAGCUUGGGGGAGAGCACCCCCAUUUAUCCAGCUAAGUGUUUCUACUCAUAUUUAUACUUUACUCAAAUAAUAAAAAGACGCAUAAUCGUAAAAACCCAAAUAAAGAUUUUAUGCUUAUAUAUAUAUAUAUAUCUUUUCUUAGUUUGCUAAAUAAAUAAAUAAAUAAAGUUUGCUAUGAACCCUCAUAAUAGGCUCUCACAUGGAAAUGAUGAAUAGUUGCUCUGCCAUGAUUAGUUCUCAAAAUUGAAAUCUCUCACAAGUUUAGGUAUGACUGUUAUGAAUUAAGAUUUGCUCUAAACCUAAACUUGUGGGAAGAGUACUUGAUCUAAAGUCUAAACGGAUAUGAUAUGGGAAGGUUGAGCUGCUGUUUAUCUGUUCCUAGAGAUGCUAGAAUUCUGGAGAAUUUUAUCUUUAAAAAUCUUUAAAAUAUUGCAUGAUGAGUUCCUGUAUAAUGAGAGUUUAAAAUCCUACCACAGCCAUAUAUACAUGCUUAUUAGACUAUGAACCAUACAUUUACUUUUUACUGCUUAUGAGCAUUGAGUGUGGUCAAGCUGUGUAGACCCUUAGGAGCUUGUCAUGCGGUUAAAAUCAAGAUUCACUUGCACGUUCACUCAUACAUGCUGCUUCUACUCCGAUAGUACGCAUCCACAUACAUCCACUCAUUUCCAUAUCCAGAUUCACCUAAAAUUAUUCUAUUCCUAUCCAGGAGAGAAUAGCCAAAAAUAUUAUCCUAUCCCUGUUAUUCCCCAUGAAAUAAAUGCUCGAGAUAUUUUGGUUACUACCACUUGCUACAUUAUUCCAAGAGGGUGAGUGCUCUGAAAAAAAAAGAAAAGUGAAUACGAGGAAAUAAAAAGGGGCAAGUGCCCGGAACCUCGAAAGAAAAGAAAAAGUAAGACGAGAGGUAAAAAUGGACAAGUGUCCGACAGUAGAAUUAGGGGUACAAGAUACCCACCUGAGAGAAAAGAAAAAGAAAAUAUAGAGCAUCUCAUUCCUCUCAAAAACCUUCAAAGUGCAAGAAAGGUAUGUAUCCCCUCAAAAGAGCAAAAGUAGAAUUAGACUUUCACCAUUAUUUUCAACAUUAUCACCAUCAUCACCAUACACCAUUCAUUCGCCACGCAUGCACAUCUUGAUUUGACUUAUUGACUUGUUUCUCUAGAUCCAUGGUUUGACUAUGCAAUAAAUGUCUUGUAAGUAUGUAUUAGCUGUCUCCCACCUAUGAGCCCAGAUAUCAAAACCUUGUUAGAGUAGGGUGAGAGAGAAGGCAAUAAUAUCAUUAUGCCUCAUACCACAAAUACCACAUACUUUGAGAGAAGGCAUAUAUCAUCACUGCCUUGGUAAGGAUCCAGAAAUACCACAAAAGAGAGACUAGAGAGAGUCAUACAAGGAAUCUCUGAGUUUUAUUUGAAAAUCUACAAAAACUCCAGAGCUAUAGUUGAUCAAAGAACAAGAGACAUGGUGCUUCACUUGACCGUUCUAUCUUUUAACUGCUCAAGACACAAUUGACGGUUGCAAGCCCCAUGGUGGAAGGUAAUAUGAGUAAACUUAAAUCUUAAUAGUUUAUCUUAACCUAGACAUGAGAUCUUGUUUGAACGCAUGAGUACCUUUAAGGCAUAAAACCACAGCAAAAACUCUUGAGUCCAUCUUUGCUCAGGGACGAGCAAGAGGUAAGCUUCGGGGAGUUUUUUGACGGUCCUUAAGUAUCAAAUUUAAUCAUCAAAUAAAUAAAGAAAAGGAUCCAAAUGCAACCAACACCUAGACUUAGGGUUUUAUCUAACAGAAUUCCACAAGUUUUGGUGCUUGUCUAUUUCUGUAGGGGGUUAUCAGAAAAUAUGGAGGAAAGGCCCACACGUCGGGUUUACAUAGAGAUAUUAACGUGCCGCGCAAUUUUCUAUCAUCUAGAAGACUCCAGAAGCCACAGGAACGAACGGAAAGCUGAGCGAGCUCGGGGGCAGGGCGCCCGCCCUCCCCCCUUGGGCGCCUGCCUAGCUAUAGAGUCCAAUCAGGACUCAUUUCGCGGAUUACACUCCACCGAUCUAAAGGAUCAAGGAUAACCGUUCAAUCAAUGUCGGUUUGAUCCGACGGCCCAGAUUCACUUGAGGGGACUAUAUAAGCAGACCCCCUGGCCCCUGGAGGAGGCACCCCUUGAUCCCUAUUCAUUAUUCAUAGAUAGAGCAAAAGCUAGGGUUUGGAGAUGAGAGCUCUCCUCUCAUCUCUAAACUAGAGUAGAUCUAGAUAGUAGCGAGAUGGAGAGCGAGGGAGGUUUGGAGGAGAGGCCGGCCUGUCGGUUCUUCCUCCGGUUGUACUUCGCCAUGAUCAAGCUCUAAUCAAGCUUGCUCAUGGGAUGACUCUGGUAAUCUACUUCUAAUUCAUUAUGCAAUUACUAAUCAUGU